AUAUAUUUAUAUAUGAUUAGAUAACAUAACAGUAGAAGAUUAAGAAAACAUCAAUAAAUUAUUUUCUGAUUUGUUUACUUACAAUGAUAAAAGUGACAUUAUCAGGGAUGACUGCUUAGUUAAGCGUUUGAAAAGUAAAGUUAGAUUUCUAUUUAUAAAUGUCAAGACAUCAUGAUUGAAUAUGAACAAUCAAAUCGUGGAAAUACUAAGAAAAUGUAGGUGAAUAUAUAACAUUGGAGUGAGAGAACACUUUUAUGGCAGAGUCUUUAAAGAUUGCUGAGUAUAUAAUGUUUUGACAUAAGUAAUUUAAAGGCAAAUAAUUAGAGCACAAAAGAUAGAAAAGGUAAUAAAUGAAGUCUUAAAUUCAUUCCAGUAAAAAAUAAUUUGUAUCCAGUAAAAAAAAAAAAAAGCACUCCAAUAGGAAAUGGGUAAUAAAGAUGAAAAAAGGUAGUAUCCAGUAGUUAAAACUACCAUAUUCUUAAGAUGAUAUUUAGUGUUGGUGAAACACCUACCUCUCCCUCAGACCCACGUUUUGAAAGGCUUGUCUAAAAAUAUAUACUAUUAUUAUACUGUGUGUCUACUGUCAGUGAUAAAUGAUUUGUAUUAGUAUCCUAAAAUCCUAAAUACAUCUCAGAUAACAACCCUUCCACCCCAAUACUGAUUUGGAAGAACUCCAACUGGGGACCACUGGUGCUGGGGGUAAAUAGGAAGACAGCUAUUCGAAGAGUUAAUGGUUAAGGUUGUUCCCAAAUUAAUGAAAGACAUUAAGCCACAUAAAUAAGAAAUGCUGUUGACCUCUAAGCAGGAUAAGUUACAAUGAAAGUUAUACUUAAUUACUUCAUAGUAAAACUACUGGAAAACAAAGACUAAUUUUAAAAGUAGCCAGAGGAAAAAUAUAUAUUACUUUCAAAGGAGCAACAGCAAGCCUUGAGAGGGAAUUUUCAGCAGAAGUAAUGAUAGUGGAAAAUGGAAUGGUGUUUUCAAAGAGCUUCAAGAAAAUAAUAGUCAACCUAGAAGACUAUGAGGCAAAAAUAUCCUUCCAAAGACACGUCCAGACAAAGGAAAAUAGAAUUUGCCACCAAUGAAAAGUACCAAAAGUAUGAAAGGAAAGUACUAAAGGGUGUUGUUGGAGCAGAAGGAAAAUGAUCACUGACCACAGCUGGAGGUGCAGAAAGGCAUUGAAAGGCAAUGGAAAGGGUAAGUAUGUGUAUAAAACUAAAUAAAUAUUGAAUGUGUGAAACAACUUUUUACUUUCUGGGGUCUUAAAUAUAUAAAGAACUAAAAUACAUCACCAAGAGAAGCACGUUAAGUGUGGAGGGAGGUAAAUGUAGGGGUCCCCAACAUUUCUGGCACCAGAGACCGGUUUUGUGGAAGAUAAUUUUUUCCCAGACGGUGGGUGGAGGGGUGGAGGGAUUGGGAGCAUGGUGUUGGGAUGACACUGUCCCACCUUAAAUCAUCAGGAAUUAGAUUCUCAUAAGGAGUGCACAACCUAGAUCCCUCACAUGCACAGUUCACAAUAGGGUUAACGCUCCUAUGAGAAUCUAAUGCUGCUGUUGGUCUGACAGGAGGUGGAGCUCAGGCGGUAAUGCUUGCUGGCUUGCCACCCAUCUCUUGCUGUGCGGCCCAGUUCCUGACAGGCCACUGACCAGUACUGGUCCACAGCCUGGGGACUGUGGACCCCUGGGUAAAUGGAAUUAAAGUAUUCUGAAGUCCUUGAAUUGUCUUGAAAGUGAAAAUGGUGGAGGCACUGAUUUAUAUUAGAAAUUAAUAAAUCAGGGGUACAUGUUUCAGUUUCUACAGUAUUUUGUAAAAGAAUAAGAGUAUGUAAAACUAACAAGAUAACAGAAGGAGAAUAUGAAAUACAAUAAUCCAAAGGAAGGCAAAAAGAAAAAAAGGCGCAUAGAACAGAUGGGAACAAAUAGAAAACAAACACCCACAUGCAUCAAUCUCUACAUCAAGCAUAUGUGGACUAAAUAUUCCAAUUCGAAGGCAAUAUUAUUAUCACCCUGGAUAAAGAACAAAUAUAAUUCUCUGAGACUUAAAAACAACAUACCUUAAACAAGGAUAUAGAAAGAUGGAAAGUAAAAGGAUGGAAAAAGGACUAUCAUGCAAGUAUUAACCAAAAGGAAGCUGGUGUAUUUAGUACACGAAGUAAACUUUCAGGUAUUACCAGAGUAUGAAGGAUAUUUCAUAAUGAUAAAGGGCUUGCUUUACCAGUACUAUACCGAUGGCUGAGGUAUUUGGGCUGUCUGUGAGGCUCAGAUGGGCUGCCUGUGGCCCUGCCUCACCUUGGAGAUGGCCCAGGAAGCUAACUGAGACUUGGAGUUGGUCGAAGAGGAGCCAGACUCAAAUAUUUGAAGAUUGUGUGCGUGUGUGUGUGUGUGUUUAGGGGAAAACAUGAGAGGUAGAGUACUAUUCAAAAGGACAAGAAGUGGAACAUUUUCUUUUAUAAAUCAAAUAAAUGGUGGCUCUGAGCCUUCCCCCACCUCCUGCCUUUUUUGGGUCCAGAUUGCUAAGAGAUGUUAUUAAUGAUAGCUCACACUUACGAAAUUAUUGCCUUCUAAGUGCUUUGUAGGUAUUAAUUUAUUUAAUCCUCACAACAGCCUUAGGAGACAGGCAUCAUCACUACCAUCGCCAUUUUACAGAUGGAAAAACCAGCAACCAUCAGAGCUGGUAUUCAAAAUAAGCCAAUUCAGAUUCCGAGUCCCGGCUCCUAACCAUGGAGUGGCCUCAGGGUUUUAUAGUUUGUCCGGCUCUUUGGAUGAACAUCACACCUCAUGGAGGAGAGUCCCUUCCAUUUUAAUGGCUCCAGGUUGUCAUGGAAAUCCUCUGUAUACAAGAGGGUAAGGAGGAGGAUGAGAAGCAAUACAUGCUUAUUGGGACUUUCUAUCACCCCAGGACUUAUCCAGGUACAUUAUAACAAUGUUGAAUACAGUAUUAGUCCCAUUUUAACUAUGAGGAAAAUAAGGUUUGGACUGUCAGAGACAGAGCAAGACACAUUGGUAAGGGCAGACAAGGGAUUCAUCUGACUCCAAUGCCUCUUCCUUGGUAAACCAGACUGGCUUGUCACACCGUGAAAUUAGAGUCAACUUGUUAAAUCUUGACAGGUUGCUAAAUUAUUAAUUACACCCCCAGGAGCUGUGACUGGAGCAGCAGGGAUGCUAUGGCUGCACUGUACUAUUUUUAGCACUAGAUGGUGCUGUAACACUGCACAUCUCUUCCGCGGUGGCCCUUGGAGGAAGGUUACUUCAGGGCUUGGAGACCCUGGAGGGAAGGAUGCUACCUUACCAGAGCGUGAAAAAUCAUGGAAGACAGGAUACUCUCGGGCCCUGAGAAAGCUGGAGACUGUAGCCACCAGGUGGCUCCAGGAUGUGCAGUACUGGCGUCUGGGUUUUGCUCACACAACCGUGAACUCCUGGUCCCACCGAGCCCUAGCGAGUGGAUUGGAGCACACACCCACCCACCUCCUCAGAGCUCCUACGAGUAGAGGAGGUACCUAGGCACGUGGGAGCUUGGCGCCUUGUUAGGUGCUCAGGAUACUGGUUGUCCGGAAUCCCAGUGAGGUGCAGUCCCGCCCUUGUGCCACUUUCCCAUGCGCUUCCUGCCCCCCUGGGGGCUGCAGAGGCUGCAGAGUUGUCCAGCUUGAGAAACUGUAUCAAGGUUGCUCCCUGACGGCCUCGCAACUCGCUGAAGAGCUGCCUUCAGUUCAGAACAGUUUUAGGGAGAUUGUCAUAAACUCAAUGAGUUUAAAUGAUUUUACACUGACUCUUCAAAAAUGUCAAGGUCAUGAAAGACAAAGAAAGGCCGAGGAACUGCCCCAGACUGGAGGAGGCGGGAGACAUGGCAGCUGUGAAUGCACCGUGGGUCCUGAACCAGAAAAAGGAGCUCAGUGGGACGAUUGGUAACUUUUUGAUGCAAUCUGUCGGUGAGCUAAUAGUAUUGCUUCGAUGUUAAUUUCUUGGUUUUGAUCACUGUACUAUAACUAUGCAGAGUGUUAACAUUUGGGGAAGCUGGGUAAAGGGUAUGUGGGAAUUCUUUGUGCUAUUUUUGCAACUUUUCUCAUCAAGUUUGAAAUUAUUUCAAAAUUGAAAGCUAAUAAAAAUUACAAAAAUGUUCUUAACAUUAUUAUGGAAUAUUUCAAACAUAUAGAAAAAUAUAGAGAAUAAGCCUGGCCACUUUUACAGGUGGCUCAAAGGUACUGUUGGCACCAGACAGAGGAAUGAAGUUCCUGUAGGAGUUAAGCAUUGAGCUCUGCUGUCUCGCUUUCUGUGUCCAGAGGUGGCUCUGGAUAUUGAAUUAGACCAUUACAUUUUGGGCAAGAGCUAUUUAAAUUUUUGACAGCCUCUACUUUAGAAUAAAUCAGCAGACAAUCCACCUCUAUGGCCAUAGUAUUUGCUUAGUGAGAUAACACCUUAUUCCAACGUCCUACUUAGCAAUUCUCUUGGGAGACAAUUUUUUUUCCAGACCUUGUCUUUUAUUACAGGGAUCUAAUCAUUACUGUCUAAAACAAAAACAUAUAGAUAAAGAUGGCCCCAAUUGCUUAAUGCUGCUUUUGAUAUUUUUCUUUAACUUCUUUAACUUUCAAAAAUGAACUUUUAAUUUUAGAACAGUUUUAGAGUUUCAGAAAAAUUGCAAAGAUGAUACAGAGUUACCAUAUUCUCUGCAGCCAGUUCCCCCUAUAUUAUCAGCUUACCUUAGUAGGGGAUAUUUGUUGCAAUUAAUGAACCAAUAUUGAUACAUCAUGAUUAACUGAAGUCCAUACUUUAUUUAGAUUUCCUUAGUCUUUCUAAUGUCUCUUUUCUGUUCCAGAAUCCCCUCCAGGAUUCCAAGAUAUCACAUUAAAUUUAGAUGUCAUGUCUAUUUAUGCUACUCUAGGGUGUGACAAUUUCUCAGAUUUCUUUGUUUUUGAUGUCCUUGAUAUUUUUGAGGAGUAUGGGUGGAGUAUUUUUAUAGGAUGUCUCUUGAUUUGGGACUUGUCUGAUAUUUUUCUCAUGAUUAAACUGGGGUUAUGUGUUUUUAGGAGGAAGACAACAGGGGUAAUGUGCCAUUUUUGUCACAUCAUAUCAAGAAUACAUAGUAUCUCUGGGCAUGGUGGCGGUCCAUAAAAAUUAGCUGGGUGUGGUGGCAGGCUGCUCAGGAGGCUGAGGCAGGAGAAUUGCUUGAACCCAGGAGGCAGAGGCUGCAGUAGGCCAAGACUGUGCCACUGCACUCCAGCCUGGGUGACACAGCGAGACUCCAUCUCAAAAAAGAAAUACAUGAUAUUGACCUUCACCACCUGGCCACCUGGUAGUAUUUGUCAGGUUUCCCCACUGUAAAGUAAUUCCCACCUGCCUUCCACACUGAGCUCUUUGGAAGGAAGUCACUGUGUGCAGCCAAGAAGGAGCAGGGAGUUAUGCCUCACUGCUUUGAGGAUGGAGUAUCUACGUAAAUUAUUUGGAAUUCUUCUCUAUGGAGGGAUUUAUCUCUUGCCUCCCAAUUAUUUAUUUAUUCAAUCCAUUUAUUUGUGUUAGUAUAGACUCAUGGAUAUUUAUUUUAUACAUUGGGUUUUAAUCCAAUAUGACUUUAUUUUAUUGCUAAAAUUGUUUCAGCUUUGGCCAUUGGGAGCUCUUUCAGGUGGCUCCUGUGUUCCUAUUUAAUUGCUGUAUAAUAAUUGUACAUAUUAAUGUGGUACAUGUGUCAUUUUGAUCUGAGCAUAUAAUGUGUACUCAAAUCAGGGUAAUUGGGAUAUCCAUCACCUCAAAUUUAUCAUUUCUGUGUGUUGGGAACAUUCCAAAUCUUCCUUUCUUGCUAUUUUGAAAUACACAGUAAGUUCUUGUUAACUAUAGUCAUUGUACUGUGCUAUCAAACACGAGAACUUAUUUCUUUUAUCUAACUGUAUUUUUGUACCCAUUAACCAACUUCUCUUCCUGCCUCCCCCUCACCCUUUCCUGGCCUCUGGUAACCACCAAUCUACUAUCUUCUUGAGAUCCACUUUUUAGCUCUCCCAUGAGAGUGAGAACAUGUGAUAUUUGUGUUUCUGUGCCUGAUUUAUUUCAUUUAACAUAAUGUCUUCCUGUUUCAUUCAUGUUGCUGCAAGUGACAAGAUUUCAUUCCUUUUCAUGGCUGAUUAGUACUUUAUUGUGUCUAUAUGCCACAUUUUUUAAUCCAUUCAUCUGUUGAUGGAUACUUAGGUUGAUUCUACAUUUUUGCUAUUGUGAAUAGUGCUGCAGUAAAUAUGGGAGUGCAGAUAUCUCUGGUAUACUGGUUUCCUUUCUUUUGGAUAGAUACCCAGUAGCAGGAUUCCUGGAUCAUAUGGUGGCUCUAUUUUUAGCUUUCUGAGGAACCUCCACACUGUUUUCCAUAGUGGCUAUACUAAUUUAUAUUUUCACCUAUGUGUACAAGCUUGCCCUUUCUUCAUGGCCUCAAGCAUGUUAUUUUCUGUCUUUUUGAUCAUAGCCAUUUUAACUGGAGUGAGAUGAUAUCUCAUUGUGGUUUUGAUCUGCAUUUCCAUGCUAAUUAGUGAUGUUGUGUUCCUUUGAUAUAUCCCCAUCAUUGAGACUUUUCUUUUGAGCACUUGCUUAUUUCCUGGCAUAAUAAGAUGUUCCAGGCUCAUCUUGUAUAUUUUCUGCUCCGGUGCUAGAAUCAGCCAUUUCUCCAAUGAGCUUUUGGGAGAUAUUUGCUUUCUUGAUUACAGUUAGGAUUUUCUCAUAAGGGAAGUUUGUUGAUGGCCUGCAAACAAAUAGUAAAAUAGUAUGUGAUGCCAUGAAAAUUAAUUGCAUUUUUCCUUCUAGAUUUUGCAUAUAGAAGACAGUAAAUUUAAAAAACAGUGAAAGAAGAAAUGUAUCUGAGAAUUCAAUCAGUCAAUAGACUUUAGAGUGAAUAUGAUUUUUGUGUGCUCAAAGGCAUCUUUUCAGUUUGGCUUUGUAAGGUUUCAUUUUUUUUUUUUUUGGUAGGAAAAUAUAAAUAAAAGAGGAAGGAGCAGGGGAAGUGGAAAGUCACCUGCAGGAGCAGCCAUACCCCCUGUCGCUGCCCUCAUGGCCUAAGGUGUCUAUAAUAGCGUCAGUUUUCUUUUUUUUUCCUUUUUUUUUUUUUUUUUGGUUUUUUUUUUGAGAUGGUGUCUUUCUCUGUUGCCCAGGCUGGAGUGCAGUGGCAUAAUCCCAGCUCACAGCAACCUCCGCCUCCUGGGUUGAAGUGAGUCUCCUGCCAUGGGCUCCUGAGUAGCUGGGAUUACAGGUGUACACCACGAUGCCCAGGGAAUUUUUGUAUUUUUAGUAGAGAUGGGGUUUCAGCAUGUUGGCCAGGCUGGUCUCGAACUCCUGAUCUCAGGUAAUCCACCUGCCUCAGCCUCCCAAAGUGCUGGGAUUACAGGCGUGAGCCACCGCGCCCGGCCAGCAUCAGUUUUCUUUGUGCAUCUUUUCCACAAUCCUCUCACUGCAGAUGUUUUCAGUCUUUCCCUCUGCUUGGUAUACUUUUCUCUACUCAUAGCUUCUUAGUAACCGCUGCCUGUUACGAUCCUUCAUCCUCCCAUUUCUGCCUCAUGUCUUGGUUCUAUGCAUUUUUCCAGUUUCAGCCCUGUUGUUGACUGCUGGAUUCCUAUCUGUGUUUCCCAGUUAAAAUUCUCAAAAGAAGGAACCUGACUGACUCAACACAAAGUUUCUUGCUAGACAAUAUCAUGUGUCAAAAGUCAGCAUAUCGACGGGUUGCCUGGGCUUAGUGUCAACACAGUUCCAUCACCUGCUGCCUGAGAGUGAGGUGGGAUCAGUUGCCAGGCUCAUUUGGUCCUGCCCCUUCAGCAGAGGCUUUAGCAUCAGUUGUCUUUAGAAGAGGCUGUGGGUACCAAGGCUGGCCUUCUGCUUCGUGGCUUGGUGGGGAGGAACAGAGCAAGAGUAGUUAGAGACCCCUGAAUAGGAUCAGGAGUGCCCAGUACUAAUAAAGCCAGUAUUUGUACAACACUCUAACAUUUGCUAAGCACUAUAAAGUCAUGAUCUCAUUUUGUGCAUACCUGGGAAACACUUAUUCUACUAUACUCUGAUUGCCUUUUUCCUUGGGUCUCUCUUACAAGCAGACCACAGGGACCCUGAAGGCAGGAACUAUGUCCUGUUAUUGUGAUAUCCUUAGCACCAACUCUACAGAUAAUAUUCUAGAAAUAUUUAUUAAAUGUAAGAAUUAAACAAUAACAUGUCUUCAAGGUGGACAGCUGUUAUUACUGUUUUACAACUGAGGAAACUGAGUUUCAGUUAAGUAAUGCAAAGUAAUUUGAAUAAAAGACUGGGUUCCUUGUAGCCCAGUCCUUUUACAAAGUUGUGUUCAGAGAGAAGUGUUUGACUCUCUCUUUUUUCCUGUCAUCCUGUACUUCCCGCCAUUUUUCUUUCCCAUGCCAGUCACUGCUGGGGCUUCUGGGCCCUCUGGGUACUCUGAACCCCUCUAGAAUGACGAAGAGUCCUCGCUUACUCCUGUCAAAGGGCAGAGGGCAACAGUCCCUUGGUAAUACUUUAGCCACCUUCGCUUGUUUUUUUGUGAGAAACCUCCACAGAAUAAAAGUCUUCCACCUAAUUAAAUUGGCUGAUAUCUGGUAGAUUUAUAAUGGAAAUAGAAUCUUCAUAUCCUAGGCUGGAAUAAGGGUUAGAGGCAGAUCUGAGGUGGAUUGGGGAUGCUGUUUCAGUUCUAAAUACGAUGAGUUGGAGGCAAAAGGGAGGAACAGCGGAAGACAGACUUCCAGGAGGAGGGGUCCAGGUUUGGAUGCUGGACUGGAACCUGAGAGAUGGAUUGUAUAGGGCAUGGAUGUGGAGGUUUCAGAGAAGUAGCAACUAAAAUUGGUGCCACAGAUGAGGUAACUGGUAAGUAAUUUAAAAGAUUAUUAUUCAAUGUCAAAACCAUCAUAGAUAAUUAUGGAUUAAAACGGAAAAUUAGCAUGUGUAAUUAAGUCACACACAAAGACCUCAGAGAACUUUAGUUUUUGCCGGAGGGCAUUUUGUACCCCAGACUCUUAGGAAAACAUAAUCACAUGCUUCUCUGUUAGGCAUGCAUGUGUGUGUGUGUGUGUGUGUGUGUGUGUGUAGAUAUAUACUUGCUUCCCUUUGCUGUCAUUUUCUUGUUUUGUGCCCACUAAACUGUGUCCUUACUUUUUCUCCAUAGUGCCCACCAGGUUACCUUGUUCAUGGAGGGCAUCCAUAUGUGGAAAAAUGCUCAUUGCAGCUUUACUAAUAGUAGUGAAAAAUGAAAAACAAUAUAAAGUAUCUUUAAAAAGGGCAUGGUAUGGUAAAAUAGGAUGUAUCCACUCUGUAUUAGUCCAUUUUCAGAUUGCUACAAGGAAAUACCCGAGACCGGGUAAUUUAUAAAUAAAAGAGAUUUAAUUGACUCACAGUUCUGCAUGCCUGGGGAGGCCUCAGGAAACUUACAAUCAUGGUGGAAGGCACCUCUUCACAGGGCAGCAGGAGAGACAAUGAGAGCCAGCAGGGAAAAUGCCAGACACUUAUAAAACCAUCAGAUCUCGUGAGAACUCACUAUCAUGAGAACAGCAUGGGGAAACCACCCCAUGAUUCAAUUACUUCCCACUGGGUCCCUCCCACAACACAUGGGGAUUAUGGGAUUACAAUCCAAGAUGAGAUUUGGGUGGGGACACAGCCAAACCAUAGUACACUCAAUGGAAUGUCAUGCUGCCAUUCUAUGAUGGUUGUAAAAAAUAUGUUGCAAACUCAAAAAUGCAUAUGUAUUUUCUCAAAAAACGUACCUGUCACGCACCAUUUCUUAAGAAGCUGCUGGACGGUAUGUUUCCGGCAGAAAGAAUGACAAUAGAAAAGGCCGUCAGGACUCCAGACAUUGGAGUUAUGAGUUACAACUUUAAAAUAAUGAAAGCUCCCUAUGUUCAAAGAAUAACAAAUGAUAAAGAGUAAACCAAGGAAUAAAGAGCUGGGGGCACUGGAAUCUGGAGAUUCAAAGCAGGAGAGAGGUGAAGGAAACCCAUAGGCUGAUGAUGAAGGGAGCUCCCAGGCUGGUGGCCAACAGUGGAGCUGGAAGGCAGCCUCUGUGAGUUGAGGGCCAUCAUCGCAAGAUCCCUGCUGUCUUAGUACUGUCUGUGAGACCCGAGGAAGAAUGCCUGGGGGAGGCUGGUCCUGUUUCUUCUCUUGGCUCAGUGCUAUUAAAGCUACUGCUCUCCCCUUGAUGCUUGGGUUAGCUCUGAACUCCUCCUGAGGGCUGACAGAGGAGCGCUGUGAAUUUAGAAGAAAAUGCAGAGCAGCCUCCUCCCUCCGAAGCUCUUUCUGACAGGUGUCUAGUAGGUGGUUCAAAUUAUAGUUCUGUCUGAUGCCCCAGAUGUGUUAAUUUAUGGUUUCCAUGACUCAGCCAUAACCUUGCCUGCAGACAUCCCUACAAAGGGCUCUCAUAGAUUCUCAGGGAAGCGGAAGCCAGCCUGUGAUGCCCAUUUUUCCACAUUCUCUUCUGUUGGGAACCCUUGUAGAAUAGCGUUGAUAUUUUCCUUCUCUUACACAGACUUGUGCUUCCUAGGCAAUUUUUACAACACUAUUUAAAGAAAAGCAAGGGAGUGACUAACACAGAAGGCAGGAAGGGGUUAUCUGUCGGGGAUAAGGACACUGUGGCAGAGGCAAUGUGUGAUGGACAGUAUUGUUCAGACAUAAAGGAGGCCACAUUUCCAACCCCCUUUAGAGUUAAGUCGAGGCCGUGUGGCAGCUCUUACCAAAGAAGGCAGAGAUGUGUCACUCCUUGAGAAAGGCAGUUAAAAGCAGAUGUAAGUUCUCUGUGUCCUCUCUUAUUUAUUCUACUUAACUAAAAGCAAAAAUUCCAAGGUGGUGAAAUGAUGAGUCUUAAAUUACUGUUAAGACUCUUAACAGUCCUAAAUUUGUUCCAGAGCUUGUGUUUCAAUGGGGCCAGAGCCAGGGUCUUAAAUUACUGUUGGAGGUGGCAAGGACAGCUCCUGAGCCUGCAUGGACCGUGAUGUGAGAGGGACAUCAAUGUAUGCGUGCGUGUGUUUUACAUCAAUGACAUUUUGAGAUCUGUCUGUAGCUGCUGUGAUACACUAAUGCAGGCACAAGAGGGGCUGCUAAUGUGGUCAUAAUAUUCUAUUUCUUAAACUGGAUAGUGGGUACAUGGGUGUUAAUUUUAUUAUUAUUAUUAUUAUUUUGAGACAAAGUCUCGCCCUGUCACCCAGGCUGAAGUGCAGUGGCACAAUCUUGGCUCACUGCAACCUCUGCCUUCUGGGUUCAAGUGAUUAUCCUGUCUCAGCCUCCUGAGUAGCUGAGAUUACAGGCGUGUGUCAACACGCCCGGCUUAUUUUUGCAUUUUUAGUAGACACGGGGUUUCUCCAAGUUGGCCAGGCUGGUCUUGAACACCUGACCUCAGGUGAUCUGCCCACCCUGGGCCUCCCAAAGUGCUGGGAUUACAGGUGUGAACCACUGUGCCCGGCCAUUAUUAUUCUUUAAACCACAUAAUUUUUAUAUACUUUUCUGUAUGUACUGUAUAUUUCAUAAUAAAUAUUUAAAGUCAGUCUCUUAUGUACAUUGUGACCACCUGAAAUUGCAAGUUCAUUGAUCUUUUUCACUUUGGUCCAGCUGACAGUAUAUGUGGGAACAUAAAGUCGAACAGUGUUUUGGAAAAGCUAUUUCACAGCAUAUCUCAAAAACCUAAGUAUUCUCCUUUAUCCAGCAGUUCCACUUUGAAGAGCUGAAUCUAAGGAAAUAAUCCUAAAUAUCAGAAAAGCUUUUUACAUAAGGAUGCUUAUUGCACCAUUAUUAACAGUAGUUAAAAAAUGGAAGGAAAAGACCAUGGUUUAUUGAAAUAGAGUGUAUCGACUCGAUGGAGUGCCAUGCACUAUUUCUAAUUGAUGUUUGUAGAAACAAUGUUAUAACCUCAAAAAUGCACAUGACAGAUGAACAAGAACAGGAUACAGGAUUGUGUCUCUUGGGUGAUUAUAGCUAUGUAAAAAAUGUAUGAAACAAAGAACUCUGUGCCUGACAUCUGCAAAGCCUGUCCUAUGCCUAACUGUUCUUUGAAUCAUUACUUUAAAAUACAGUAAUUUAGGCAUAAUCCAGUGUAUAUACUUUAGGAGGAAAAAUUCAAACGUGUUUGAAGUUGUAUAUGAGAUUCUUUUCUUCUUCCAGAUUAGGCUUUUAAAUUCAAACAUAGAUUUAAUAAAUCUGACUUGGUUCAGCAAUACAGUUGGAACAAUUGAACACAUUUGUAUGUGAGGAUGGAGGAGGGAAGAAUGAAAAGGAGGGAUUGGGAAGGGGAUGGGGACAAAGUUCAUAGAAGCACAGUGGCUAGACCUGUAACUCAUGGCAGUGGCCAGCUAUUUGUCCAAUGAGCAGGAAAUGGCCUCUAAAGUUUCUCCAUUGUGUCUAUGACCUUGCAUUUCAGCAUCUGAAAAGAAAACACAAGAGGUUCGGUUGGUGCAGUGUUCCUUUCUUCCCAGGACUUUCUGGUCUUCAAGGCUUUCUCAUGAGACAGAAGACUGAUGGAUGUAGAAGUUUCUAAGAGGACAGACGGAGCCUUGCUCUGUUGCCCAGGCUGGAAUGCAGUGGCGCAAUCUCAGCUCACUGCAACCUCCACUUUCCAGGUUCAAGCGAUCCUCCUGCCUCAGCCUCCCAAGUGGCUGGGACUACAGGUACGUGCCACCAUACUUGGCUAAUUUUUUUUAUUUUUAGUAGAGACAGGGUUUCACCAUGUUAGGCAGGAUGGCCUCCGUCUCCUGACCUCAAGUGAUCCACCCGCCUCGGCCUCCCAAUUCUUUUGUGUAAAGCUCACUCUAGCUGUGGUGAGAGUGGAUGGUUGGAGGGGGAGGGGGCCAGAACGGCAGACAGAUAUGUCCAGAGGCCAUUGCAGUGGUGCAAGUGUGAGAAGUGGGGACCAUGAGAAGGGGUUAGGUUUGGGAUGUAUUGCAGAGGUGGGGCUAAUAGCAUUUGCUGAUGGAUUGCAUGUGAGCUAUGAGGGGAAUCAAGGAUGACCUGGAGGCUUUCAGGCUGAGCACCUGAGUGGGCUGUGGCCUUACUUUCUGAGCUGGAGAAGGCAGGAGCCUGAGGUAUGGUGGCUGGGAAGAGGGGGUGGUGGCUGGUCUUCCUCUGCUGGAAGCUCAGGAAUGCUGGGCCAAGUUUCCAGGCCUGCCCGUCUUAGGGGCUGGGAGAUAUGUGCUGUGUUGUGGACGCUGGUUCAGGGGAUCAGUCUCUCUGCCGGUAAGGAGGGACUCACAGCAGCAGAAGCCUGUUCUUUCCACAGCCCAAGACACUAUCUUUCGUAUAUGUUUUGUGAAGAUUUUUCCCUGCUUCUCUAUUUUCUGAUUUUUAAAAGUGAAUCUUAUAAGCAUUUUUCUUUAUUUAAAUACAUACAAAUUAUACAUUUAAAAUAGAACAUGGCAUGAUGGAAAAGUAUAAAGAUUUGCUAAUUUAUGUCUAUACUCUUGGACUUGUAUGACAUUUCUAAAUCUUUAUAAAUGUAUGUUGCAAUGAACAUUUUUGUGUAUAUGUGUGUGCUUAUAUAUUUGCUAAAUUAUCCCUUAGGAUAGAUGCAUUUCCAGGAUUUCAGCUGCUGCAUCAGAAUAUAAAAGGUAUAAAGCCAUUUCAUUGAUUCUUCUGUUUUAGUCCCUGAUGCCUCAUCGAAUCCGGAGUCAAGUUCAAUCCUCCUUCUACUGUUCCAGACGGCUCCCCUUUCUCCCUCUCCCACCAGGACCCCUAAUCUCCCCCAUUUCCCCAAUGCUCUUUCUCAGAGCCACGUUUCCUCUCACUACCAGCCAAGCCCUACCCUUCUGGAAGUCCACCAGUAAUUUUAACCUGUCUCUUGUAUUUGCGCUAAAGCCGCCAUUGAGGAUAUUCAGAAUUUUGCUGUGGACUCUGGUUAGAAAACUAACAAAGUAACAAUAAUAUUUAGAAGAAUUAUGUAAUAGAGGAAAAGUUAUGGGGGAUCAGAGAGAUUUAAGUGUGUAUUUUAGUCUUACCCCUUACUAGCUAAAAUGUAAAGAAAUUUUAAGCCUGUAGGCAUGUGCUUUAAAAAUCACCUUGGGCAAGUCAUUUAUACUCUGUGUGAGCCUCAGGUGCUCACUUAAAAUGGGUAGAAUAAUCACCAUCUCCUAGGAUUAGUGUGAAGGGUGCACGAAAAAGCAUGUGAAACACACAGGCUCAUAUCUGGUGUGCAAUACCGUUUGUUUAUUUGGGUUUGCUUUCCUUCCAUUCAAUUUUCCCUUGCUUGUAUCAUCUUAGAAAUUAUGGCUAAAUAUUAGAGCUCUUUGUAUCCUCAAUAAAAAAGACAUGGACUUAGAUAACACUUUACCACAAAAUCAGCUGAGGUUUGUGUUGCUCCUCAAAUCUAGCAAGCACAUUAGUCAGAGACUGAAUGCUAACCCUCUUUUCUCUGAGCCACAGUGGAAAAAAAUGGAGGUUUUCCUAUAACACUCUGAUAGUAUUCUGUUUCCUUCACUGAUGUAAUUCCGUUAUUGCAGCGAAGAAAAUGCACUAUGAUACCUGGAUGAAGGGGGACUCCAUGAAAUAUGAACUUGUUUGAAAAGGUGUGAGUGGCAUGCAUUAAGAUGCCAGGUUUUUAUUUUAUUUCUCUUCAGCUUGUAAACACUUCAGUAACCUGCAAAGAUGCUGGAGCUGGUGGGGAAGAGAGUCCAGCCAGGAGGUCCAAAUGCCACUUCCACAUCAGGAUUACUAAUAGGCAUGGUCAUCUUCUAACCACUGAGCUUCUUUAAUUUUGGGGAGACAACAAAAAUGAAUCAAAAGAAUAAUGUAGUUCUAAUGUCAUCUCUGAGAAAAACGAUGUCAUCUCUGAGAAAAAUGAUGUCAGCCAAACCCUGUAUCCUUAAGCCAGGCUGACCUGCCCAACACCAUAAGGGCAGAUGGCAAAUAGGGCACACAGCAGUGCGUUAGCUCAGUGGGCUCAGUUUUGGAUGCUAAAUUCCAGUUUCACUCUCGUUGCUCUUGGCUUCUGCCAGGGAUUUGGUCUCACAGUGUCAGCCCUACUUUUGCCACAUGGAUUUUGUGUUCGAACUUUGUUUUUCUAACUUUGAUGCUCAGAUGGCCUCAGAACUCAGGCUCUGGCCUCCUCCUUCCUGACUGCUUUGAGUAGACACAGACCUACUUUUUGUCCAAGGACAAAAUACUUACCUGGGCUCUGAUCAUGCUACCUUAGUCACCUAAAUGUCAUCAACGCUGAUUCCUAACUACUCUGACUAUUGUCACCAGAAAGUGCCCUGAUAGUGUUGGGAAGUCUUGCUCCUUGUCUGGGGCCUGAGGCCCUCUUUUGAAGUUUGAAGGCUCAUCUGUAGGUAGGUAGGCAGGGUCAUCAUUUGCUUAGCAGCCAAACCAAAAUGUUGUAUACUCCCUGUGGUAGGUAGAAUGAUGACCCCCCCAACAAUCUCUAUAUCCUAAUCCCCUGAACCUGUGAGUAUAUCAUGUGACAUGGCAAGGGGGAAUGAAGGUUGCAGAAAGAAUUAAGUGGCUAAUCAACUGACCUUAUGAUUGGGAAAUUAUUUUGGAUUACUGAAGCAAGUCUAAUGUAAUUGUUAGGGUCCUUUAAGGUGGGAGAGGGAAGCAGAAGAGGAGGUCAAAAUGAGAGAGAGGUUUGAAGAUGCUCCACCGCUGGCUUUGAAAAUGGGGAAAGGGACCACAAGGAGCUGGAAAAAGCAGAGAAAGAUUCUUUCCUAGAGCCUCCAGGAGGACACAGUCCUGCUGACGCCUUGAUUUUAGCCCAGGAUGAUCAAUGUCUGACUUCUGGCCUCUAGAAUUGUGAGACAAUGCACUUGUGUCCUUCAAAGCCUCUAAGUGGGUGCUAAUGUUAUAGCAGUAACAGGAAAUUAAUAUACCCUUCAAACAACAAAGAGCCUCUUUCUAUUCAAUAAUGAAUUUUUAUAAAUGAAACAAAAAAAAUCCAUCCUUGAACAUGGAAGGUUAAAUUGUCACUUAAAAUGCCUGGAUUACUGAAUAUAAAUUGGUGUUUUUCUAGCCAAAAUACUGAUGUUUGGGAACAAGAGAGGAGCUGCUCCUUCUCUUACUGAGAUAGAUGGGGUCAGUAAGAGGAAGUCCCCUUUGAUUUUAGACAGAGGCUCUAGGAAGGUCCAACAUCUGUUCUGCCUUGAUCUUUUCUCUGGUCAUCUGAUGGCAAGGAAAGGUGAACCCAGAGCCAGCAAUUGGUCCAGAAGAUAGUGUGCCCAGUGCCUGGGCAGCCUGGCCUGUCUGCCACCCCAGGGCUCUGUAGAGCCCAGAAUAGCCCACCUGAAGCUGUCUCCAGAUCCCUCUCAGCAGCCUGAGGGAGAGCAAAUGACCACAGGCAGAGAUGUUUGUUCUAAUUCAGAGUGUCCAUGUUUUUCCUGCCAAUGAGUCACCGUGCUCUUGUAAUUGACCCCUGCAUGUCCUUGGGGGAGAAGUGGUAAUGGUGGGAGAGGCCAGGGGAAGAUCCAAAGGAGGAGCUAACUCAGGAUCCCCAUCCUGGCAUUCAUCCUGCAACCUCUGCAGGUUGUGCAAAGCCCUGCCUUGCAUCUCUGCAGGCAAGAUCAGGCUGCAAAAUGAAGCAAGGCAGGUGUGGCAAUGGGGAAAAGAAGGCAAGGGGAGGAGUAACUGUGUAGCUUGAUUUCAUACUCUUCUUCUAACCUGAAAAAUGUUGCCAGCUAAUAUGGAUAAGGUACUUUGCAAUUUGUUAUCCCAUUUUAUUCUCCACCCAUUUUAUAGUAGAGGAAAGUGAACUUUACAACGUAUCUCAGUCCAUUCAGGCUGCUAUAACAAAUAUACCAUAAACUGGAGGUCCUAAAGAAAAAUAUGUAUUUAUCACAGUUCUGGAGGCUGGGAAGUCCAAGAUCAAGGUUCCAGCUGAUUCGGUGCCUUCUUCCUGGUUUCCAUAUGGCCAUCCUCUCACUGCGUCCUCACAUGGGGAAAACAGAUCAAGAGAGCUGUAAGGGCACGAAUCCCAUUCCAUUCGUGAGGGCUCCAGGUUCAUGAUCUAAUUACCUUUCAAAGAGAGUCAUCUCUACCAACACAUUAGGGGUUAGGAUUUCAACAUGUGAAUGUUGGGGGUACAGAUUCAGUUCGUAACACCAUGUGACAGGCAAUAUUCUAAAAUAUGCACAGAAAAUCUAACUAAUUUAGCUACUAGAUUUUGGAUGUGGUAGCAAUUUGGAUGGAGUCUGAAAAAAGUUCCCCUUCAAAUAAUAUUGCUUUAUGGAAAAGAGGCUUGUUCUAUAAGCGAAGAGUGCAUGAGGCUUUCCCCUAAUGACUGAUGAUCUGGCCCAGGAUUCUUGGUUGCUCCUGUCAAGUCAGGGGGGCUUAGGAUGUAGCCCCUUCUGUUCCCACACAGCCAUGCCCAUCGCAGGCAAGGUCAUUGGGGGGCUCCUCUCAGAAAACUGCAGUGUGAGGAACAACCCUUCUUGCUGUGGGUGAGGAAAAUCCAGGUCAAUGCUUCUCAGUAGACUACUUUGAGAACUCUGUAAGGAACUUUAAAAAUAUCCUUCCUAGGCCCCACCCCAGACUAGUGAACUCAAGUCAGGGUUGUGAAACAUUGACCUCUCUUAGGACAAAGGCCUGGAAAACAUUUCUUUGUCACAUGACAAAAAUCCUUUUUAUUAACCCUCAACCCAUCUAGAGUGACAGACAAAACAAGCAAAUGGACACACCAAGACACCAACUGGUUUCUAAAGGUUUCAUCAAAGAUGCAGUAGUUACAACUUUGUGCACAUUCUUAGUCAAAUUCUUAAAUUGAAAAUUUAGAUAUGAAAGUAAUUGCUCAAAAUAUAUGGGCAUUUCUGAGACUUUUGAGACAAAUUUCCUGAAAAAAAAACACACGGUCUCUCCAGAAGUGUGAAGAGUGCCAUUUCUCUGAGCCCUUGCUAAUACUAUACAUUUAUACUUAAAAAGUUUUGCCAAUUCGUAAAUGAAAAAUUGUUUUUCAUGUAUACAAUAAAUAUUCAUUGAGAAGUCACUUUGUGCCAAGCACUACAUUGAGCAAUGGGUUAUUUUAAUUUCAAAAUGUUUAGUUGCUUGCUGAGAUUGAACAUCUUUUCAUAAAUGCAGUAUUAUACAUAUAUAUUUUCUAUUUGUAAAGCUCACUCUAGCUGUGACAAGAUGAUAAAUGCACAGUGGGAGGGUACUGGGGGGCCAGAAUGAAGAUAGGGAGACACGUCCAGAGGCCAUUGCAGUGCUACAGGUGGCAUCCAAGGGUGGCUGGGCUGAAUGUGAGAAGUGGAGGUGGUAAGAAGGGGUCACACUUGCGACAUGUAUUGUGGGGCGAGAGCUGACAGUGUUUGUUGAUGGACAUGGGCUAUGAGGGGAAGAAGGGAAACAAGGAUGACUUGGAGGUUUUCAGGCUGAGCAACUGAGUGGGUGGUGGCCUCAUUUCCUUAGGUGGGGAAGACAGGAUGGAAUAGGUUAGAGUGGGGAAGGGUGGAUCAAGAUUUCUUUUAAGUGCGAGAUGUCUAUUAGACAAGUGGAGAUGCUGAGUCAACAGUUGGAUUUACAAGCCUGGAAAUCAGGAGGGAUUAGGUUGGAGAUAUAGAUUUCGGAGCCAGAGUACAGAUAGUUUCUAAAGCAGUGAGAAUGGGUGAGAUUUCUUAGAGAGAGAGAGAGGAGAUAGAUAAAUGAAGACCAAGAACUGUGGCAUGUAAUAAUUUAAAGUUCUGGGAGAGGAGCAGAGUCUAGCGAAGGAGAGAAAAUGAACAACUGGUGAGACAAAAUAUCUAGUGAGUUUGCUAUCAAAGAAACCUAAGGAAGAAAUAUUCUAAAAAUGUCACCCGGGCGGGGUGGCUUACACCUGUAGUCCCAGCACUUUGGGAAGUGCUAGGUGGGUGGAUCACUUGAGGUCAGGAGUUUGAGACCAGCCUGGCCAACAUAGUGAAACCCCAUCUCUACUAAAAAUACAAAAAUUAACCAGGUGUGGUGGUGUGUGCUUGUAAUCCCAGCUACUUGGGAGGCUGAGGUGGGAGAAUCGCUUGAACCUGGGAGGCAGAGGUUGCAGUGAGCCGAGAUCGUGCCGCUGCACUCCAGCCUGGGCAACAGAGUGAGACUCUGUCUCAAACAUCUCAAAAAAAAAAAGUGUCAACUGCAAUCAGUGAGAUGGGGACAAGAAAUUGAUAUUAACUUUGACCAUAUGUUUGAUAAGAGCUGCUUUCUUGGUGCAGUGGGGACAGAAUCAUGAUUACAGUGGUUAAAGAGGAAGAGGAGAUGGUGACAAAUCUCUUGAGGAAUUUGUGUUGAAGGGAACAGAUAAAUGGAAUAAAAUAUAUAUCUGUUCUUGGAAUUUAGGAAAGAUUUAAAAACAAUAUGUUUGUAGGCUCAUGGGAAUGUUCUUCUCUGUGGGAGAAAUGGAUGAUGCCAGAAGGAGAGGGAAUAAUGGCAGAAGAUUUUACUUAACAAUGAGAAGUCAAGAGAGAAUGAGGUGCAGACUGCAAGGGGAAGGAUUAUCUUUGGUUUGUUCAGGGAUAUUUGUUAGGCCGUGAAAAUGGAAUAUAGAGUACAAAUGCAGACCAGUUCAUCGAUUUAGUGGGAGUGAGAUGUGAGCAUCCACCUUGCACUCACAUAUGUUGACUGCUUUGUCUUCAACAACCUAGGUACCUCAAGACAUGGAGAUCAACUUGCUCCUCAAUGCCACUUCCAAGCUAUUUCACCUUCAAAAACCUCAGACUAAAAAAUCAAGCCUUUUCUCUUAUCCACUGCAGCCAUCUACUCAACACCUUCCAAUGCCCCACACCCCCGUCUUGAAUCGGUGCAUUUAGUACUUGGAUCACUGGCUUUCUCUACGUGGUUGUUCAUGUAGAACUUUGGGCAACUCACUGUGCCCUCAAGUUAUGAGUCCAAUAACCUGUUGCUCCAGAUGCUUGAUUUCCUCAACUCCAGUGCCCUUCAGGUGAGGUCCACCUCACUUUGCUGAUAGUGGCAGGAGGCAGUCAAAUGCCUAGGCAGAUGGGGCGGGUCCCCAGUGAAACCCCCCUUCAAACCAAAGACAGUUCAAAGCCUGAAAGCCAAGCUACAAGUCUUGGAUAAAUCCAUGGACCAAAUUGAGAACCUCUCUUUUCGUUUGGCAUGCUUUCCUCUGAUUAAUCCCCACCUGCCACCUAUUUUACAUAUACCUACUCUUCCCUAAGUGGUUUCUUGCACUGUGUUUCUUACCUACCUUUGAGUGGUGCCUUUGUUUUAGCCUUUCUUGCAUACUCAUAAACCAAUCAGCAUGCACUCCCCGAUUCUGAGCCCAGAAAAGUCCUGGACUCAGCCACACUUGGUGGGGACUGCCUGCCUUCAGGUCAGGGGAGCUACCCAACUUCAGGUAGGGGGCUGCCUUCUCUGGGUCCGCUCUCUGCUGAGAGCUGUCACUCAGUAAAACUCUCUGCUGUGCUCACCCUUUGGCUGUAGCAUAACCUCAUUCUUCUUGGACAUGGAACAAGAACUUGAGACCCACUGAAUGUGGGCAUGAAAAAGGCUAUAACAUCCCCUUUGGGGCUUCAGGGUCACUGGCAUCCCUUUUCAAGUGCCACCACAUUCCCCUUGUUGGGAUGCCAGUGCACAGGGCGGAGGCAGGUCAAGGCACCCCCCAGCCUGGCCCAGCUGUGGGCUGAGUGUGGAUCCUGUGGUGAACACGGGGUCCAGCUAGAGUACAAGCCAGGUGUGGCCUGGCUCAUCGAGUGGCCAGGGUGCCUCCUGUUGUGAGCCCAGGGCUGAGUGAGGCUCAAGUAUGGGUUUUGCCAGCUGUGGAUAUAUCCAGCUGGCCAAGCAGCACUGAAAAAAUCCUGCGUCACUGCCACUUGCUUGCAGGGUCAUAAUGGAAAUCAGAGAGUGCAUCUUUUAAGGGAGCUCAGGUAAAGCAUGUCCUCCAGUGCCAGCCAAGUUUCAGUCAGAAGAAAAAAGGGAAAACAGGCUGGGAGUAGUGGCUCAUGCCUGUAAUCCCAGCACUUUGGGAUCUUGAGAUGGGCAGAUCACCUGAGGUCAGGAGUUUGAGACCAGCCUGGCCAACAUGGUGGAACCCUGUCUCUACUAAAAAUGCAAAAACUAGCUAGACGUGGUGGCACACGCCUGUAAUCCCAGCACUUUGGGAGGCCAAGGCAGGUGUAUCACCUGAGCUCAGGAGUUUGAGAUCAGCCUGGCCAACAUGGUGAAACCCCAUCUCUACUAAAAAUACAAAAAUUUGCCAGGAAUGGUGGUGCACGCCUGUAAUCCCAGCUACUUGGGAGGCUAGGCAGGAGAAUUGCUUGGAUAUGGGAGGCAGAGGUUGCAGUCAGCCAAGAUCACACCACUGCACUCCAGCCUGGGCAACCAGAAGGAGACCUCUCAAAAAAAAAAUAACUUUUAUGGUAUGGGUGGAGAUUAAAAGUGAUUUUGCUGAUGAGAGGUGGUUAAUUUGGGAGGAUGAAGAGAGUAGGAGAUUAGGUCCUGUUGGGGCACUACAGAUCAGAUCAGUGUGGGGUAAGCACGUCUCUGAUUAUGCUGAGGACUGAAGCAAAUGGGAUGUGUGGUGUAAUGGAAUUGGUCCUUCCUUUGAAGAAGGAGGGCCAUCAAAGGAAAGCUGUAGAUUAUUUAGCAGUUGAGCAUGUAAUGUGUGGGCCCUUCUCAGUAGCAAUUGGAGAGGCAACUCCCAGAGCCCUGGUAACCUCGGGGAAGGACCAUGGUGGCUGAUUUUUCUUUCAGAUGCCCUCAGGCAAAGUUCUUGGGGCUGGUUCCAGGUGUCCUCUUGUGGCAGCUAAGCAUCUGGUCCAGGUGGCUGAUGUCUCCCUUUAGGGUAGGGAAUGACUCCUUAGAGCAGAUGGAAGGUUUCUCCAGCAGCUUUGUGUGUGACUCUCACAUAUAUUUUAUUUUUUCCUGCUUAUUUGUUUUCUGAUUUGUGUGUAAUUGAACCUUAGGCAUUAAGCAUUUUUCUAUUCAUAUAUUAUUCACAAUUAUAUUUUUAUGUUGUAUAAUAUUGCAUGGUAUAAAGCAUAAAAUGUGCUAUUUUAUUUCCUUAUUGUUGGAUGUGUAUGCUAUUUCCAGAUCUUUGCAAAUAUAUGUUACAAUGAACAUUUCUACAUAUAUAUAUAUAUUUUAUUUGCUAAGUUAUUACUUAGGAUAAAUUUCCAGAAUCAGGAUUAUUGGAUUGAAAUAUAGGAAAGGGGCCAGACGUGGUGGCUCAUACCUGUAAUCCCAGCACUUUGGGAGGCCGAGUCAAGCGGAUCACCUGAUGUCGGGAGUUAAAGACCAGCCUGGCCAACAUGGUGACACCUCGUCUCUACUAAAAAUAGAAAAAUUAGCCAGGUGUGGUCGUAGGCACCUGUAAUCCCAGCUACUUGAGAGGCUGAGGCACGAGAAUCACUUCAACUUGGGAGGUGGAGGUUGCAGUGAGCCAACAUCACGCCACUGCACUCCAGCCUGGGCCAUAGAGCAAGACUCAGUCUCAAGAAAAAAAAAAAAGAAAUACAGCUAUUUUCAUGACCCAUUAGUUUUAAUCCUUAAUACAUCAUCUAAUGCAGGAGAAAGUUUAAUUCUCCUUUCAUGGCUCCAGGCUGCUCCUCUUUCCUUUAUCCAUCUCCCAAUAUAGUUCCUCAAUUUCCUCUGACCCCCAAACACUUCUCUUUAGCACCGUAUUUCCUCUUACCAACAGCUGUCACUCUUACCCUCCAGAAUUCCAUCAGUAAAUUUAACAGGUCUCUUGGAUUUUUGUUGAAGCUGUCAGGAAGAUAGUCAGAAGAAUUUGUUCUUGAAUCUGAUUAAAACAGUGUAAUAGUAUUUGGAGGUAUCAUUUUAUAGAGGGAAAGAUUUGAGAGCUGGGGAAACCUAAAAUUUAAUUUUAGCCUUAGCAUUUCAUAGCUAAAAAUGCUAUACAAUAUAUGCAAAUGUAGAUGUGAUAUGAAAAUUACCUUGAGCAAGCCUUUUAUACUCUCUGAGCUUAAUGUGUUGAGCUAUAAAAUUACUCUAAUGAGAACGCUUUCAUAGAAUUGAUGUGUGAGAUAAAGGCAAAUGUGAAAAUACCUUCUGGCACAUGUCUGGUGUGUGUAAAUUAUUAUUGCUGUUUCUCACUUUUUUUCUGUAUUCACUGGCUUUUGAUCAUUUUUGGAUCAAAUGUCUCAGUGUAGCUGUUGGUGGUAUCAUUGCCUGUCAAUCAAAACUGCCAAGGAAUACAUCUGCAGUGGAACAAAUUUGCCUGUGUUACUUGCUGGAACAAAGGAGACCACACACCAUGAGGAAAUCAGGAAGCAUUUCAGGAUUUAAACCUGUUAGGUGAUUUUGGGGAGUGUUUGAAGAAGCAGGGUACUCUCCUGGGUUGGAUACUGUCAGGAAGUAAAAUUAAAUCUAUGCAUGGACAACUUAAUAUUUUACCUGGAAGUGGGAGAAAUGGAAUGGAACUGAAGAUGUAAUUGGCAAAAAGGCAAUGGCCACUCAUGUGAGCUGAGAGAGGAAGAAAUUGGAUUGUUUUUAUAGUAAUUCCAGUAUUCUUGUGUUUGUACUAAGAUAUAAUUUCUGAGGGAUUUGACUUUUUUCCUACUCUAUCUACCACAUUGAAUUCAUCUGAUGUCGGUGUUCUGUGAAAUUUUUUAUCUCCAGUAGAACAUCAUGGUCUCGCUGUUAGUGCAAGCUGAUGGCUUUCGGAUAUGUUUUUCUUGUAAUUCUCACUUUUGGCCAACAGCAGAUGAAGUUAGACCACAGGUAAUUAAUCCAUGAUAUUGAGGUUUUUUCACCAUUACUGAGAUUCUGCCUGUUGGGAGGCUGUCUAGAGAACAUUCUUUGUAUUUGGACAAAUUAGUACCUCUUAUUCCUUUUGUUAUCAGAUGAGUUGUUGAGUGAUCUGACAUGACAAUGGUUAUGCAUUUUAGACUCAGUACAAGAUGCAUCAGUCAAGUGGUUUCUAGGCAAUUAUGAAAGACAAAAUGACUAUUCAUUAGUUUUCCAAGGCCAGGGGACCAGGUGACUAACCCCAGGCCAUGAAAACAUGAGUCAAAGUCUGAGUGGGUCUACUCUAGGGAUCUAGAUCAUGCCCCUUUCUUUCAGUCUAAUCACAGACUAUUCCAUCUCUCCAAUUGUACAUAUGUUGAUGACACAAGGAGUGUUGACUGUAGCAUGAAUUCUCCAUUAACUAGUCAAUUUAACUAGUUUAUUUUGGGCCUUCUCUGUAGAGGUAGUUUGUACUUAAGAGUAAUACUGUAUGGGGCACAGACCUUAUAGAAUGAUAGUCACUUUUAGAAAAAAAAAAAAAAAGAAGAACCCAAUCCUCUACUUCUAAUUUUACUAAUUUUAUAUAUUAUUUAUGUAACAAUUUGCAGGGAAAGAUAAAUCUUCACGGCUGUAUUUAGGUAUAUGCAUGUAAAUAAACAUAAAAAUAAAUGAUAAGUGUAAAUAUUUUAACUAUAACUUUAAAAUAUAAUUGAUCUGUUGAUAUAUGUUAAAAUAUAUAUAUUAUACUAUAUCAUCUUAAUACAUUGUAAUGAUUUUAACAAUCAAAUCACAUCAAUUAUCUUAUAUACCUAGUCCUUUUUUCUGUAAUUAUUGCACUAGUCUACUCAACCAUUUAUAUUAUUAUGUGUAGCCAAAGUAACCUGCUUUUUUCCCCAAACACAAAAGAAAACUAGAAAACUGUUGAAUUGUUUUAAAAUUUUAGCUAAUUUCAACAAAUUUAAGAUAGCAAAACAAAUGUAUGUAAUCAUAAAAGUCAUUUGCAUACGCUGUUAAUUUGUAGCCAUCUCAAGAAAUAAGGGUAAAUUAAAAUUACAUUAAGUCUUUUGAAUCUUGUUCUUAGGAAUUGUCUAGGUAUCAAAAAUUAUUUAUUGAUUCAAUUUAAUGUUGGUCUUAGGUCUUAAAGUUGCUAAAGGUUAUUUUAAUUAAUGUAUUAGUUCAUUCUGUUUUGUUUGUAAUAUUAAAAGAAGUUUUAUAAGAUUAAAUGCUUUAAAAUAGCAUCUAUUUUUACAAUUCUAUUUAAUUACCAUAAAAUGACUCUCUUGAUGAGAGGUUCCCAUUACUAGCUGCUUUUCACAGAUACAUAAACUAUCUACUAAGUAUUUAUAAACUAUUUAGUACUGUUAGAAAUCAUUCUGAAGGCUUCACAACUUAAUCAAUUUCAUUUUGAUACUGUGUUUUAUAUAUUGUGGCUAUUUGGUCUGGAUCUGUACAAAGAUUCCCUUUUGUAAUUUCGUUUUAUGGAUAAGUUUUGUUACAUAUGCUGAGUGUAAGUGAGCUGCUUUGAGGAAUAUUAGAAAGGUAUGUUUUGAAGAAAAGAAUUUAUGUAAGUGUUUUUUAAAGCCAAUCAAUAUUUAUAUAGGUAUGAAACAGUUUUUACAUUUGCCUUUUAACUAUAAUAUAGCAUUUGGGAAAACAAAGACAACAUUUAAAGUGAAAAAUAUUUUUUUCUAUUGCUUAUACUCAUACUACUCACGUUAUUGUUGAGGUUAUAAUGUACACAUAAUUAAAAUUAAAAUACAGUUUUUAUACUCUCUAAAGGGCAAAAUAAAAAGUAAUUAUAUAUAAUCAUUUUGUAAAUGAUAUCAUUUAUAAAUCUCUGAAUAUUAUAGCUUCAUCUAGCAAAAAUAUAAUCUCUUAAGAAGCAGCAGCUGCAUAAACUAAUAAGGAAAGAGGCAAAAUUAAUUUUUUUUCUAAGCAAGACAAAGGAAAGCUCCAAGUUUCCUGGUAUAGUUUUGGAAGUGCAAUCGUUGAUUUGUUUGAAGACUGAAUUAAUUUUGCAGGCACCCAUUUCUAUUUUCAGGCUGUGAAGUUUGGGUGAGAUCUUGACGGUGGUGGCAGUGGUGGGAUCCAUGCAUGGCAUCUGGAAGAAGGAGAGAAAGGAAGAGAAAGAGGCAAGGAGGGAGGAGGAAAAUGAGGCUUUGAAAUAUCAUACACAGUUCCUUGGAUGGAAGGAGGAGCGGGGUGAGCAUAACCUGGCAGCUUAGGCGGGAGAGAGGAAGAAAUUGGAUGGUUUUUAUAGUAUUUCCAGUAUUCUCGUGUUUGUACUCAGACAUAACUUCCGAGGGGGAGCUCUGUCUUCAGAUUAGGGAGGCCCCCUUGCUGUGAGGGACCAGCUGUGCACCAGUGCUCUGUUUGGAAGAGCUAUUUCCUGUGGGAUGACUCAUAGCUCCUCUUCUAGAAACUGGACCUUUCCCCUGACUUCAGCUGUCUCCUCUUGUUCUGGGCCUGGACUUCUCUUCCUACAGGUCCUCCUAAGGAACUAAGUUGACCCUCUUCAGCUCUCAGGGUUUUCUGGCAGGUUCCAAGUUCCUGCUGACAUUCUAAAGGCCAAUGCUCUUUAAGGAAGAUUCUAGCUCCACAACUUCCCUUUUGUCAGAGCUGAGAUUAUCAGUGGUUUUGCAUUUCUUCUGAAUCAGUGGGACGUGUUUUUCUUUUAGCUGUGUCUCUCUUUUAACAUAAGGUUGGAUUUCAGCAGAUUAAUAUAUCUUAAAAAAAAAAGGUAUGAAAAGUCUACAUACGGCUGCACAUGUCCCAGACUCUCACAAGAAGGGGAGGAAGUCGAGGUCAGGCUCAGGUUGAGUUGGGUCAUGGCAACCUCCCUACUCACUUUCCUGAGGACAUUCUCCAAGGGGCGCUGCACAGAGGGCACCCUGAGCACCAUCCUGUAGCCAUGGAUCCACAAGGCCACACUCCACACACACCACAGAGCCACCCCAAGGGUUCAGCCUGGAGCCCACAUGAGCACCUGGUAAACAGCACAGAGCCCUGGGACCUUGGGCGAUGGCCGGACAGAUUCAGCGAAGAAUACCUUUGCCCUGGGACUGGCCAGCACAUCCAGCUCCCUACUUCCUCUCUCUCAUAAUUGCAUACGUGGGGACAUAAGGAAACGCUGAAAGACUAGUACAGUGGACGUCCCUAUAUGUACCUGCUAGAUAGAACAGUUGGCAUUUUCCUAUAUUUACUUCUAUCUCUGUCUCUUUUUUUUCCUGAAACAUUUCAAAGCAAUAGGUGACUUGGCAUUUCAGCGUGCAUUUGAAAAUCGUAUGCACAUUGUACUGUGUUUCCAUAUGUCACUGUGGUCCUUUGUUAAGCUCAUUUUCCGGAUGAGGAAAGGAACUGAAGCACAGAGAAAGAAGUUACACAGGAAAUUGCAGACCUAAAAUUUAUAUCCAGCUCUCCCUAGCUCUGAAUGUUGCAAGAAAAUUUUACAGUGAUCUUUCUGACUGCGUGGAGGAGAAGGCCUCAGGUCAGUGCCUAUCCUUUCUCACAUCUCCCUGGCAUUCUCUUAUCUCCCUUUUCAGCAAAGAGACGGUGUUUCUCAGGUGUAGAAUGAUUGCAGGCACAAGGUCUCUCUCAAACUUAAUAAUGUAUUUUAAAAUUUAUAUUUAAUUUUAUACUUAUCUGUCAUUUAUGGCUAUAUUUUUGCAUAUGCCCAUGUUUUAUAUUUUUAAAAUGCAUGGCAGUGGAUAUAAAGAAACUUUUAAUACACAUUUACUUAAAUAAAAGUGUUAUAAUAUUGGUAGUACAUGGCAAAAAUUAUAGCAAAAAUUGUCCCUUUGAUAGGUGAAUUACUGAAGCUUUAGCAAUAAUGUUGCAAACUCUGUGAAAGGGCUGCUGUGGGUAUAAACCACCCUUCCUCCAGCCGAGUCUGAACUUCAGGGGGCAUUUCUGAUUCCUAGUCCUGUCCCCCCUUGUCUUGGCUGUCUGGAGGAAGAGGAGAACCCAUCACUGGUGUGGCCUAAGUCGAAGGAGGAACUGUGGUGAGUCUUCUCCCUGACCCCCUUUUCCCACCCAUCCCGACAUAUUUCUUCUGUUUUGCAUUCCCAGUGCCAGGGACUGUUUGUGUGUCAAAUAUGCCAUGAAAUGUGCGUCUUUCCCAUGAGCAAAUGAAGAGGUGGGGGUGCUUACCCAUCCCUAAGCCCUGGUUGCUUUCUCAGACACAUUCUAAAUAGUAAAGCAGUCUCCUCCAGGGGACCUUUCAGGGAUGGGCUUCAGGGCCAUCCUGGGCCGUGACCCUCUGUGCAGCUAUCCUUGGAAGUGGUCCUUGGGAAGGUGAGCAGGGAGGGACUAUGACAUCUAAAGUCCAAGCUCUGACUACUUCUGUCCCUGGGAAUCAGUGACAUGUGAAGCUAUGGCUAGAUUUUUCAUAGAUCUCUUAUUUGUAUUCAAAAAGCAUUCAGAAGUUUUUAUUUAGCUAAAAGUUGGCUUUAUGUUAAGCGGGAGGCAGUUGGCACAGAACUUGUCUGUUGAUUAAGGAAAAAUGUAAAUCCACUGACAACCUCAGGUCUGAUAAAAGGGAAUAUGAGACGCCGGAGUCUCCUCUAGGGGGCGCUAACCUCCAGAAUCAGCUGUGGGAAGCCAUGUGCAGGAAAGCCACCCUGAGUUGAAGAAGACUCACUGAGUGGUGCGCCCCCUGCCCCCGGCCAUCUCUCCAAGGCAAAAUGAACAGACACUCUACUUACAGUCCUGCGCACUGGGAGGAUUUCUUUUCACUACUGCCUUUCAGAGCUGUCUCAAAGUGGGGUGGAAGUGCUGCCGCCCACUCCUAGGUGGUGUCUAGAUAUCAGGCAGAACUUCCUGUCCGACAAGCCUGUUUCUUCCCCAUCAGUCAAGUGAUCAUAGAGGACUCCCCAUGAGGCCAUACACAUGGGUUGAGAGAGAGAAAAUGCAGUGUAGCAAGGGGAGGAGGCCGGGGCUUCUGAGGGCCAGUGGAGCCGGGGCGAAGGCAUAGGCAUCUGCUGGAGCUCGGUCCAUAUAUACCACUUCCGCUUAAUGAUGGAGCACUGCUUCGUAUUCUCAACUUUAUGGCUUGGUGGGUUAGAAAGCACCCAACACAUGACAUGCAGCUCAAGGCACAUGGUGAUGGGUGGCCCAUGGGUAACUUUGUCUCUAUUAAGGCCCGGCAGAAAUCUAAAAGCUGUUUCUCUAAAGGAGAGUAGUUAUCAGCAGAGAACCACAGAUUUUCCCCCAAAUCCUUUGAGUCUUCACUAUGAUUUACCCUAGAGAGAUCUGCCAAACACUCCAUGCAGAAUCCCUAUUUGCCACUGACCCUUCAAGUAGCGUCAGUUCUUAUGGGUUCUAUGUCCCAAAUGAGAAGCCUGCACAUCAGCCUGGACCUAUUGCAGAACUCUCUCUCUUGUGGAUCCCACUCAGCACUGGAAGCUUUGUGGCUCACUAGGUAGAUGGGUGGAAUAACAUGCCUGAAUGAGGAAUAUAUUGCUUCCCAAAUCCAGAGAGGUUCACCAGGGGUUGUGCCUCUUUCUUAGUGGUAGGAGGGGCCAGAUACAGCAACAUGCCCUUCAACAUGGAAGGAAUAUGUUGAUAUGCCUUAGACCAUUGAAUCCUUCAAUUUUUAAGAUAGGAAGCUUCUGAUUUUUUUGUAGCAUAAUUGUAUGAUUUUUUUUGUAUGCUAUUUGUGGAUUUUUUGGUGAUAUCUUACCAAUGCGGCUAGAAGUCAUUUCUUCCUCUUCAUCAGAUCCAGUCAACAUAACAUCAUCAAUGCAAUUGACCAGAACAAAGUUCUGCAGCGUGAAAAAUGUGAUCCACAUCCUAUACACUAGGGCUGGAGAGUUGAUAUAUCCCUGCAAUAGGACAGCCAAGGAAAAUUGCUGGCCUUCUCAGCUGAAAGCAAAUUACUUUUGGUGAUGUCUACUAACAGCAGAGAACAGAGAGUAUUCGCCAGACCAAUAGCAGCAUGUCAGGUGCUAAGGGAUGUAUUGAUUUACUGCAGCAAUUGAAACUAUGUUUGGAAUAACAGCAAUUGUGUCACCAUCUAAGUAAAUUUCUGAUAAUUGGAGUCACCAUCUGAUUAAAUUUCUGAUAAUUCACUGCCAUUCUGUUUACCGCACAGGUCAAAUCAGCAAGUCAAAUGGGGAUUGGUAGGAAUAAUCACCUCUGAUCUUUUAGGGGUCCUAUGAUGGCACUAAUUCUCUAUAGUCCCUCCAGGAAUGAGACACUGCUUUUGGUUUGCUUAAAUUCUUAUGGGUAGAAUCUGUUUAGUGGCUUUUACUUGGAUUUUUCUAUUAUAAUAACCUGAGCAUACAAAUCAAAAUGGCUGCCACUUCACUUUCACCCUCCAAAUCUCGUGUAAAACAUCUCUUGAGGCCCACCUGAACCAGAAAGGAAUUCUGGGAAGCAUGGCUCAGCCUAGCCAAGUUGACAGGUAAAGCUAUUUUAAACCGUUUCAAACUAUGGUCAUCUUUACACUUCAGCAUUAUGACAUUCUACUAUGUAAUUGUAUGCCGUUGUGGUACUGUGUUAUCUUAUUUCACAGAUAAGGAAACUGAAGCACAGAGAUAAGAGAACUUGUUCAGGUUACACAGUAGGUGGGGUAGCUAGAGUUAGAGUUUAUAUCCAGCUCUGUCUAGCUUCAAAAUCUGUGCUCUUUCUUUUUCUUUCUUUCUCUUUCUUUCUCUUUCUCUUUCUCUCUCUCUUUCUCUCUUUCUUUCUUUCUUCUUCCUUUUUUUUUUGAGACAGAGUCUUGCUCUGUCACCCAGCUGGAGUGCAAUGGCACCAUCUCAGCUCACUACAACCUCCGCCUCCUGGGUUCAAGCGGUUCUCCUGCCUCAGCCUCCUGAGUAGCUGGGAUUACAGGUGCGCACCACCACACCCAGCUAAUUUUUGUAUUUUUUAGUAGAGAUGGGAUUUCACCAUAUUGUCCAGGCUGGUCUUGAACUUCUGAUCUUGUGAUCCACCCACCUUGGCCUCCCAAAGUGCUGGGAUUACAGACAUUAGCCACUGCGCCCGGCCAACCUGUGCUCUUUCUGCUACACUCAUGCCUUAGGGUGUGCGCAGCUAAUGGUAUUUACAAGGACUUCACAUGGUACAUGGACACAAUGUUCAAUCAUAUAAUAAGGAAAACAUAAGUUAUCUUUAUUAUUGUGUCAAUGAAAAAGUCUCAAGUUAGAACCAGUAUGUUUCUAAUACCUGUCACCUCACUAACCCUUUCUUUUUUCUUUUUUUUCUGAGACAGAGUCUCACUGUGUCCCCAGGCUGGAGUGCAGUGGCGUGAUCUCGGCUUACCACAACCUCCACCUCCCAGGUUCAAGUGAUUUUCAUGCCUUAGCCUCUCAAGUGGCUGGGAUUAUAGGUGCACACCACCACAUCUGGUUAAUUUAUUUCAUUUUAUUUAUUUUUUUAGUAGAUGGGGUUUCACCAUGUUGGCCAGGCUGGUCUCAAAUGCCUUACUUCAGGUGAUCUGCCCACCUCGGCCUCCCAGAAUGUUUUUCUGAAUCGUGCAUCUUUUCCUGGGCAAGACCACUUUCCUUGAGAAAGAAAACAUGUUUUAUCCAUAGCUUCAGUAAUGAGGCCACUAAAAUAUUAAUUUUCUGAGCAUUCUUAAACAUAACUGAAUCAGCUUCAAUUUGCCUAGAUAGAUAGACAUUUUAGUGGUUUAUAGCAAAAUGUAAUAAACUGAAUAACUGCAGGCUUUAAUGUAAUCUCACACAAUCCUUUUACAUCCCAAUUACUUAUUUGACCUUUUUAAGGAUAAUUCCUGCCUAAACACACACAAUCCUGCAAUUCCGAAUGUCUUCUUCCCAUGUUGUUCCAAGGCAAUCAAUAGAUCAGAAAGAAUUAAUAUCUUGCUGUGUCCUCCAUUUGUAAUAUACACUGUCCCAGGAAGGCAUAAUGCAUCUCUCCCAGGCAUAAUAAAUGUUUAUUGAGCACUGUUUGUGAAUAGCUCUCCAAUUUUCAUUCCCACGAGUUUCAGGGCCAUCAUAACAUCUUUUAUUUGCCUUAAAGUAAUGAACAAACCCAAGAUCAAUCCUAUUGCUGCUUACAAAGCGUCAGAAAGGUGGGAGGGUAGCUGAGUUCAGCAUAGCUUUUACACUGUAAAGAAGCUCCUUUUGAAAGUUAAACUUCAGGGACUUAGGGGGAAGGGUGAGAGAGAGGAUGAGGGAUAAAAGACUACAAAUAGGGUGCAGUGAAUACUGCUCAGUGAUGGGUGCACCAAAAUCUCACAAAUCACCACUGAAGAACUUACGCAUGUAACCAAAUACCACCUGUACCCCCAUAACCUAUAGAAAAAAAAUAAAUGAAAAGAAAGUUAAGUGUAUAAUGUAUUUAGAGGUAGAUGAUAGGAGCAGUGAGUCUAUAUACAAUUAUGCAGAUUUAGGUCUGUGGAUAGAAAAAUCAACAUGAGGUUCAGUUGUCCCCAGUCACUUCCACAUAAGUGAUGAGUUUGCUAAAUGAUUAUGAUAUUAAUGAUUAUGAGUAAGUGAAUGUAUUUAUCCAAAAUUAAACUAUCAUUUGUUGAACAUCUAUUAUGUACCAGGUUCAGAGCCGUAUUUGUGGUAAACAAAGCUACAUAAAAUGUAUCUGUCCCUGGAGACUCUUGGUUUAGAUAGGAUGAAAGGUAGACUAAAUAAAUCAUAGUACAAUGAGAUGGGGACAAAAAUAAAGGUGAGUGCCAGUUGUGAAAGUGGCACCAAAGAGGCUGUGAUGGGCUCUACUUGGAGGAGUCAAGACAGAGGGGCAUAAGUGGGGUCUUGAACACUGAGUGGGAAUUAUAGAAGCUUGAAACAAAGGUGAAGGGAAAUGGAAACUGAUUCCAAGUGGCAGGAUUCAUUUUAAAGUGUAAUGAAGUCUUUCUAAAAUUGGUACUAUCCUGGAAAAAUAAUUGUGUUUAAGGUUUUUUAGGGCUGCACUCAUUUGCAGCUUGCAGGAAGCCCAAUUAACAGUGCUUUCAACAGGUAAAUAUUUAUUUGUUUCAGGCAACAAGAAUGUGAUUGUAGGCCAGCUGGGUCUGGGAUGACGGUUUAGUGGUGCGUUUGUAAAGUAGGCUCUUUUCAUAUUUGCCCUCCACACGCAGUAGAGUCCAGCCUUAGCCCUCACAUUUGUGUUUAUGGUCAAAGAUUGCUGCUGAGGCUUUGGGCUCACGGUCAUAUCACAAUCAGGAAGAUGGAAGAAGAAACGAAAGGGAGAAGGGAUAUCACACCACCAGGUCUUUUUUUUUUUUUUUUUUAAAACAACAACAAAAAAGCUUUCCUGAAAGUUUCUCCAAGAGAUUUCAACUAAUGUCUUUGGCUAGAAAGAACUUGGCCAUCCCACUUAAGCACAAGGGGGUCUGAAAACCAAGAAUGUUAGCUUUCCAGACCAUUACUGAAGAAGGAGAGAGAAAGAGAGAGAGAAAGAAGAGAGAGAGAGAGAGAAAGAGAAGUUGUUGGGGGACUGUGGCUUGUGUGUGAAUAGCUGGUUCACAAAGUAUAGCAGAAGGUCUUGUGAGACAGUUCUAAGCCAAAAUCACAUAAUUUUAGCACUAAAUGUUUAGGUCUUAUAUUAGUCACGGUUCUCCAGAGGGACAGAACUAACAGGAUAUAUGUAUAUAUGAAAGGAAGUUUAUUAAGGAGAAUCGGCUCACAUGAUCACAAGGCAAAGUCCCACCAUAGGCCAUCUGCAAGCUGAGGAAGAAAAAAGUUGGUAGUGGAUCAGUCUGAGUCCAAAAGCCUCAAGAGUAGGGAAGCCGACAGUGCAGCCUUCAGUCUGUGGCCAAAGGCCCUAGAUCUCCCAGCAAACCACUGGUGUAAGUCCAAGAGUCCAAAGGCCAAAGAACCUGGAGCCUGAUGUCCAAUGGCAGGAGGAAUGGGAGGAAGCAUCCAGCAUGGGAGAAAGAUGAAAGCCAGAACUCACCAAGCCAGCUCAUCCCACCUUCUUCCACCUGCUUUGUUUUAGCCUCACUGGCAAACAAGUGGAUGGUGCCCACCCACAUUGAGGGUGGGGCUUCCUCUCCCAGUCCAUUGAAUCAAAUGUUAAUCUCCUCUGGCAACGCCCUCACAGGCACACCCAGAAACAAUACUUUACCAGCCAUCUAUGCAUCCUUUAAUCCAAGCAAGUUGACACCUAAUAUUAACGAUCACAGGUCUAAACAUCUAAAAGAGGUAUAAACAUCUUCUGAGUUCUUCAUUUUAUAGAUGAAAUAACUCACUUGCUCAGGAUCACACAGGUAGCUAGUGAUACGGCUGGAACUUGAAUUCAGGUCAUCUGGUUUCCAGUCCUGGUUUUUUUCUCAUUGUAUUAGUCCGUUCUCACACUGCUAGAAAGAACUACCUGAGACUGGGUAAUUUGUGAAGAAAAGAAGUUUAAUUGUCUCAUAGUUCCACAGGCUUAACAGGAAGCAUGAUUGGGAAAUCUUAGGAAAUUUACAGUCAUGGUGGAAGGUGAAGAAGAAGCAAGCACCUUCUUCACAUGGCAGCAGGAGAGAUAGAAAGAGUGAGGGGGGAAGUGUCACACACUUUAAACCAUCCGAUCUCAUGAGAACGCACUCACUAUCGGGAGAACAGCAAGGGGGAAACUGCCCCCGUGAUCCAAUGACCUCCCACCAGGUCCUUCCCCCAACACUGGGGAUUACAAUUCAACAUGAGAUUUGAGUGGGGACACAGAGCCAAACCAUAUCACUCCUGUACACUAAACUGCUGUGCUGAACUUAGAUUAUGGUUUAUGUUGAUCUCAGAUCAAAUCGUUAGUUACAAAAUAUUUAAAGUUUCUAUAAUUAUUAUAAUCUGCAUAGAAAAACAAUAGCUGUAAGAAAUAAAAAACUCUGGAAGAACCUGAGAAGACACCUGAGCAAAUAUUGGUGAAAUAGCUCAAUGCACUGCAGGUAUCUGGUAACUUACUUAUCCCUGGAAGGGAGAUAAAAAAAAAUGCCAGGCAAGAAUAAAGCUUCCCAUCUUCUGAGGCACAAAGAUUGAAAACAAAGUUGGUUCUUCUAAGUGGAAUUCAACUAGCCUAGAAAGUGAUUGUCAAUUCUUUCUUCUAACCCUUCUUCAGAUCUUUGAAAACAAGGUAAUAUUCCUCUGCAAGAAGGCUACUUUUCAGACCUGUGGAGGCUGUUCCUGAGGAAGUGCUCCUGCUUAUCACAGAAUGUCUAAGUGUCUGUCAAAUGAUAGUUUGCAGAAAGGAAGAAAAUAGAUGGGAAAAAAGCCCCCAAAGAUACUUCUUCCCUUUGCAGUAACAAAACCUUUUGCCAAAUUAUUGCCUCUUAUAAUAAUAAGAGAAGGCCACUGAAGAUUCACGCUACAAUUUAAACGACGGAGAACGCAGGUUAUUUUAUUAAAAUGUGUGUAAAUAUUGAUUUGGAAAGAAAAUUAUAUGAAAAUAUUGCAAUGACUCAAUAAGGAAGCAAGUGUGCCAAAUAUAACCUUCCACUUCUAAGCAUUUUGAGAGAGAAACAUAAUAGAAGCAGAGACACAAUUCCUGUAUACAUUUCUGUACAUUCUAUCCAUCAUCACACAUUCAUGCAAAUGGUUAACCAGAUUGUCUGAAGUCUGUCACCUUCAUGAGUCAAGUGUGUUGGUGGCUUAUUCUUAAAUGUAUCUUUAAUGUCUUUGCACCCCAGUAGCAUUUUGCACUUUCAAGUAAUAUUUUAAAAUUCGUUUAAGUUACUGUAAUGUCCACUCUGAAUUCCAACAUUUUGAAUCUCUACUCUUGAAUCAACGUGGCAAUUCAUGGUUCCUGUGACAUACUACUGAUGCAGGUAGAACUUUAUUAUAAUUCCAUAGUAAAAUCAUUAUAUUUUAUUUACUUGUGCUUAGCAUAUUUUUAAGCACCCAGAGACUGAUGGAUUGAAUCAAUUUAUACAUGUCUUUUCAGCAUUGAAAUGCUGUGCCUUGCAGUGAAACAAAAUGAUUCAUUUUACUGAAACACUGUGUGGAACUCUAGGUAGACUUUGAGUGUGGCUAUAUUCCUCUCAUUUCAUUGAGGUGAAGCCACUGAAUAAAUUUAAAGUGUAAAUAAAUUGCAUAUAGAAUAUGUAUUAUAUGCACAACAGCAAGCAUGAAUCACUGCAUUGAUCACAAUCCUAGGAAUUUUACACCUAUUGUCAGUUCUUAUGCUUUGUUUAAGUCUCUGGUUUCUGGUACAGUCUUCAGUGCACUGAAUGAAAUGAAAUGCUUGUUUUGAGUCUCUUCAUCAGGUUGGAAGGGGAUGGAGUUGAGGAUGUGAUAGAACAGAAGCUGCAAAGUGACAUGGUCCACACUGCCUGCACAAAAGACCAGGCUUUUGGAAAAAGCUAUGGCUUUUGGAAAAUGAAAAAUUCCAAACAUAUGCAUAUAGAAACAGAAUAAUAAAAUCCCAGUACCCAUCUCCAGCUAUGACUAAUAUCCACUUAUGGUCAAUGUUUUUGCAUUGAUAUUUCUCCCCACCUCAUGUUUUGAUGCAAGUCUAUAUUUACAUUCAUAGCUUUUCAGAAUGUAAUUCUAAAAGACUCUUAAUGAACAUAAUCAUAGUACCAACAUAAAAUCUGUCAAAAUCAACAGUCCCUUACUAUAAUUAAAUGAUUAUCCAAUCCGUGUUCCAAUUUUCCUGAUUUCUCAAAUUAUAUUUUGUGGUUUGUUAAAAUCAGGAUAUGAGUAGUAUUGCAAUCCAUUGCUGUGCCUCUUAAGUGUCAUUUAAUCUAGAUUCUUCUCUUCUAUUUUUCUCCUGCAAUGUAUUUGUUGGAGAAGAUGGGCUGUCUGUCCUGUCCCACAGUCUGUAUUUUGUGGAGUGCACCUGUGGCAUUGUUCCCUUCUCCUCCAUAUUUACUAUAAUCUAGUAGUCAGAUCUGAUGCUUUGAUCAGUUUCAGGCUUGAUUUUUGCUUGACAAGACCAGUGUGCAGGUGCCACUGUGUUCCUCCAUCAGGGGCAUGGAAGUGGUCUGUCUUUUUGUGAUGGUGCCAUAACUCUUUUUGACAAGUUCCCAUGGUACAUCAUGGGGAUGCAGGGUCUGAUGGACAAUUAGUAGCUUUUAGUAAGUUAUAAUAUACCUGAAUAUCACAGAUUGUGUGUGAGUUUCAGUCCUGCAAAUAAUUGGUAUGCAUCUAAAAAAAGUUUAGAAUAUUAAUCACUAUCAUAUCUCUAUUAUUUUUUCUGUGUGAUUUUCUAAGGUGUCCCGCCAGUCCUGCUAAGCAGAAAGCACAGUUUCUCUGGGUCAAAGCCUCUUCCAUGUUGCUGUGCAGAGGUCAUCUCUAUCUAACAGCCUCUAAGCCAGCCCAGAUUCCCCUCUGCUGUCCAUGGACCUUGGCUAGGACUGUAUCAGGUCUUUUGAACCUCUAAAUGGAAAGUCAGGGCUCCAUCUCUUACUGUCUCAGGUGGCUUCUUGGCACUUAGACAAAGAGACACACUUUCCCUGCAAACCAGCUCUGCACACCAGACAGAAUCAGUCCUCCAGGCCAGAGGUCUUGAACUCUUUUCUCCCAACAGGAGGCCUCAGCUCUUUAUGUUUACAUACGGAUAAGAGACUCCUCAAGUGCUCAAAGUUGCUAAAUGAAUAUCUGUUCCAAGGUGACUUUCUGUUCUUCUAGCCUGAGAAGCUGCUGCCAGCUUUUUUUUUUAACCCACUAAAACAAAUAAACAAAAAUUCAAUUCUAAGAAUUUUGACUUUAACCAUUUAAUCCAUAAAUAUUUAUAGAACGCUAUGACACACAGAAUACUAUUCUAUAGCAUGCAUUCCAAACCUUUUAAAUGAAGAAAAAUAUUUUACAUCAAGACCCAUUUUACCUACCUACCUAACUAUACACUCACACACACACACACACACACACACACGCCUUUGUUUCAUUUAGCGAAAAAAAGUAUCGCUAAAUGAAACUUAUUCUCUCUGUUUUCUUUUCCUUUCUUUCUUUUCUUUUUUCCUCUUUCUUUCUUUCUUUCUUUCUUCCUUCCUUCCUUCCUUCCUCUCUCUCUUUCUUUCUUUCUCUUUCUUUCUUUCUCUCUCUCUCUUUCUUUCUUCCUUUCUUCCUUUCUUUUUUUCUUUCUUAAGGUGGCCUUACUUUGUUGCCCAGGCUGGAGUGCAGUAGCAUGAGCAGAGAUCACUGCAGCCUCGACCUCCUUGGUGCAAGCAUUCCUCUUGCCUCAGCCUCCCUCCUGAGUAGCUGGGAUCACAGGCACGUGCCACCACGUCCAGCUAAUUUUUAAAUUUUAUUUUGCAGAGACAGGGUCCCACUCUGUGGCCCAGGCUGGUCUUGAACUCCUGGGCUCAAGCAUUCCUCCUGCCUUAGGCUCCCAAAGUGUUGGGAUUGCAGGCAUGAGCCACAGCACCCAGUCAAAACUUAUUCUCACUAUGCGAGAAGCAUGCUGCUACUUGCUAUUCCUUCCUAUUUGCUUCCAUUUUAUACUAUGUCAUUAACAAAAAAGGUGGUUAGGCCACUAAGUUGAUUUUACUACUGAGUAACAACUUGUAAACUGCAAAUUGAAUAGUAUGGCUAUGGGAAAACUGAGCUAAUAUAGAUCCAGGCACAUAGCAGAUGCUCAAUAAAUAUUUGUUGAUAUACAUGAUCCUUUCUCUUACAGGUCUUUGUGAGAUAAGACACACACACAUUAAAAAUAAGGAUACCAUACAAGAAUAAAUUACAUAAAGAAGCUACAUGCAUGAGAUCUCAAGGCAGUAGCCUAAGAUUAAAAAAAUGAAAAGUGAUGUAGAUGGUAAUUUUGUGAGUUAAGCUAAUAAAUGCUUAUUCUUUACAAUUGAAAUCUAAGCAAUUUAUUUUUCAUGAUGAAAUAUCUGAUAUUUAGUAUCAAUUUGUAUUUGAUCUUUAGUUGUGAAACAUUUAUGUCAUAACUAGAGAAGCCAGCUAACUACAGUAAAGGGAGAAAGAGGAGCCCACUUAUAAACUAUAAAGUAUAAUUUUGUUUAAGCUCCAAGUCCAAAGGGUAAUAAUUCACUGAAAAAUUUAUUGAAGAAUAUGUUCUGAUGUGUUCUGUUUUAAUUUUGAAAAUUAGCAAAUAAGGAGACAUUUAGAUUUCUCAAGUGCCUUACUGUGCAACACAGUCUAUUCCAGUAAAUGAACUUUUAUUUGCAAAUAUCUCAAAUCUGAGUAGACUUUUUUUUCUUAAAACAGCUUAGGGAUGUAGAAAAUUGUUUCUUCUUACAGAUCUGUAAAGAUUUAGCAAUAAAGAGUUAAGACAGUAGUUUCUAAACUUUGUGGUAUGUAGGCAUCACCUGGGAAACUUUAACAAAUUCUAUAAAAUUCACAAAUGCCUGUCUUGUGCCUCUGGUGAUUCUGAUUAAACUAUAUGAGGUGCAACCUGGUGAGGGAACUUUUAUUAGCUGCCCGGGUAAUCUCUAUGUGUGAUAAAAUGUGGGAACUGUGUUAAGGGAACUGCUGCCAUCCUCUACCCCUAGAAGUCUUCAAUAUCUUAUGGUGAUGGCCUGUCCUUGCCUUGGCUAAGGUGUACGGAUGAAAACGUUUCCGUUAAAAAUAUCACCCUUGGCCGGGCGCGGUGGCUCACGCCUGUAAUCCCAGCACUUUGGGAGGCCGAGGCGGGCGGAUCACGAGGUCAGGAGAUCGAGACCAUCCUGGCUAACACGGUGAAACCCCGUCUCUACUAAAAAUACAAAAAAUUAGCCGGGCGUGGUAGCGGGCGCCUGUAGUCCCAGCUACUUGGGAGGCUGAGGCAGGAGAAUGGCGUGAACCCGGGAGGCGGAGCUUGCAGUGAGCCGAGAUCGCGCCACUGCACUCCCGCCUGGGCGAAAGAGCAAGACUCCGUCUCAAAAAAAAAAAAAAAAAAAAAAAAAAAAAAAAAAAAAAAAAAAAAAUCACCCUUUUAAAAAAAGGAACACUUAUACACUGUUGGUGGAAGUGUAAAUUAGUUCAACCAUUGUGGAAGACAGUGUGGUGAUUCCUCAAAGACCUAAAGACAGAAAUUCCAUUCAACUCAGCAACCUCAUUACUGGGUAUAUAUCCAAAGGGAUGUAAAUCAUUCUGUUACAAAGACACAUACACAUGUAUGUUCGUUGUAGCAUUAUUCACAAUAGCAAAGACAUGGAUUCAAUCUAAAUGUCCAUCAAUGACAGACUGGAUAAAGAAAAUGUGGCACAUAUAGACCAUGGAAUACUAUACAGCCAUAAAAAGAAUGGGUUUAUGUCCUUUGCACAGACAUGGAUGGAGCUGGAGGCCAUCAUCCUUAGCAAACUAACACAGGAACAGAAAACCAAAUACCACAGGCUCUCACUUAUAAGUGGGAGCUUAAUGAUGUGAGCACAUGGACCCAUAGAGGGAAACAACACACACUGGGGUCUUUAAGAGGGUGGAGGGUGGGAGGAGGGAGAGGAUCAGAAAAAUAACUAAUGGGUACUAGGCUUAAUACCUGAGUGAGGAGAUAAUCUGUAUAACAAACUCCCAUGACACAUGUUUACCUAUAUAAAAAACCUGCAUAUGUACCCCUGACUUAAAAAUACAAGUUAAAAAAACUUAAGAUGUUUUUAUGUACGAUUUCAAGAGAAGUUAAAAGAUAUGAACAACAACAAUAGCAAUAACAAAACAAUAAUAAAACCUUUUUUUCACAUUAAAAAAUCUCCCUUUUAGGAUAGAUGUGAUAUUUGAAAGAGGAGUGGCAUUUUGAUAUUUAGGUUAUCGAGCUAAUCUAAAAAUUCCUAGCUAUUAACCUAGGAAAGUAAGUGUUUACUAUAUAGGUAUGAGAAGACUGUUUACUGAAAAACUACUAUAAACUCCCAGAUUAGCAGAAUUUUAUGUUUGCUUCAGGGUGAUCUUAUGUUUUUGUGGACCUGGGAUGAUUAUAGAGGGAUAUGAACAUUGUGUGAAACAGAGGUAGUUCUGGAGGUGAUUCUGAAAAGUGUGUCAAAGUCUCAUAAAUGUGCAAAAUAAUUGGGUUUUUAUUGAGUCAGAUGGGUUGGUUCUUUUAAUGGAAAUGCCCUGAGGAAGGGCAAUCCAAAGUCGAAUUGAGAUUGACAUUUUGAAAAAGAACAGUAAGUGUUGAAUAUAGCCUGGGGAUUCAUCACUCUCUAAGUUCUAUUAAUAUGCUCAUUUAACCAAUUACAAGGUGGCAGAAUUUAAUGAAUGCACAGAGAAUCACUUAUGUGGCAAUGAAAAUGAAGCGCUAAGUCAGUUGUUCUCAGACUGGCUCAACAUUACAAUCACCUGGGGAGCCUUGAAAAGUCCCCCGGCCUCAUAUCAGUUACAUCAGAGUCUCCGGGAUGGGGACCAGGCCUCUGCACUGGUGAUGCCAGUGUGCAUCUGUGGGUGACAAACACUGUACCAAGUAGAGAAAAUGGCAGAUGCUACCCGCAGGCCUCUCUUCCUGUCAUUAGAGGCAUAAAUGACAUUACUGGGGUGGGGUGAGAGUGUAUAAUUACAGUGGAGUUCUGGAAUUGAGAAGACCUUCUAAAAGUUAGAACACGAGGUUUCCUAAAGCAUUUUCCUUUUUAGAGAAUUUUUGGGAGAGGGGUUUAUUAUUACAAAUCUUGUUUUAUAGAGUGUCUCAGAGGCGAUUCAUAAGAUUAGGGACUCUAAGAUAAUGAAAUUUAACGUACCUGUAAGUUUCUCUCUAUAGCUCUGGUAUAGGCAGGAAUGCACUAAAUUUCUACUUGUGUGCCAGCUCCAUCUGAUGGGUGGUGACUUCCAUGGGGAUGGCACGAGAGAGAUUCUGAGGCCAGGUCCAGCUGUGGCAGAAUGAGUUCUGGGGUUGCUCAUGACAUCUCCUAUGGAGGUGGAAGUGAACUGUGGAAAUAGUGAUGCCACAUUUUUCCUGCCUUAGAUAUCAUGAAAAGUCCUGGAGUUCUAAAUUAGAAAGGGAUAAAUGAGAAUUCCAGUUCUGCCUCUGAGAUGAUUUAAAAAUAUGUCGUAAAUUCUCUGAUGUACUUCCCCUAAAAAAAUGGAGUCGACUUCUUCCAUUGAAAGUGGGCUGGACUUAAUGAUUUUCUCCUAAACAAUAGAAUGUGAUUGAGGUGACAGUAUGUGGCUUCCAAGGCUGAAUUAUAGAGGGAUAUGAAAAAGGAUAUCUAAAAAUGAUAUCUAUUAGUUUAUCUAAAAAGGAUAAACUUCUAUUUAGCUCUCUGAAUUUUGGAUCGUUCACUCUGAGGGAAGCCAGCUGCCAUGACAUGAGGAUACUCAAGCAGCCUGUGGAGUGGCCCAUAUGGAGUGUGACUGAGGCCUCCCACCAACAGCCAGUGUCAGCAUGCCAGCUAUGUGAGUGAGCUACUUUGGAAGCAGAUCCUCCAUCCCCAGUCAAGCCUUCCAAUGACUGUGGUCCCAGUUGACAUCCUGACUGCAACCUCAUGAGAAAUCCUAAGCUAGAAUCACCCAUCCAAGGCAUUUUCAAACUUCUGAUCCACAGAGACUGUGUGAUGCAAUAAAUGUUUAUUAUCGAUUUAAGCUAGAAAGUUUUGGAGUAAUUCGUAAUACAGCAAUACAUAAAGAAUUCAGCUAUUUGGUAGCUUUGUUCUCUAAGUUUUGGGUUCCCCUUCUGUAAAAUGGAGAUAAGUAUUUUAUAAUGUAGUUUUAAAGAUAAAAUGAGUUAAUAGUAAAGCCUAUCAUUGACUGAGUCCAUUACUGAGUGUAAUAAAUACUAUUACACGAUCUUGUACUGUGCUAGCUUGUGAAUUAAUGAGGGUGUUACAGACAAAAGCCUUUGGAACACAGGCCAACCUACACAAGCAAUCCCUAAGCAUUGGGAAAGGGUGGUGUUUUCAGUGAUGGUUGUGGUCUUCUUGCAUUGUGUAAAGUCUGUUUCUACCAAUGUGGUCUUUCUUAAUAGGCAUUAAAUUUGAAUGUUAUCUUCCACAUGUGUAGAAAUUCCUUCAUUGUGAGAAUUCAGAGGGGUGGCAUUUAGGGCAGUUCAAUCCCCUUCAUUAUGAGAACAAGGAACCAUCAUAGGAUGACUCAGGAUCUGGGAAGCAGUGUUGUCUACAGCCUUGGUUUAUUUUUUAUUUUUAUUUGGGAAGACCAGGAUUCAAAUACUAGCCUUUCCCAUUGUCUAUGUUGUUUUGGCCAAAUUACCAACCUCUCUGAGCGUCUAGUAUUUCGUGUAUGAAAUAUGACUAGUAAUACCUACUUUAUAAGGCUGUUGUGAGUUGUAUUGAAUCUAAGUAUGAAAGAGUAUCCAGUACAGUGUUGGUAUUUAAUAAAUGGUCAAUAGAGGUGAGUAAUGCUUCUUUUUGAGCCUCAAGUUGAGUUCAUUCCACACAACAUUCCUAUGAGGUAGGUGCUAUUAUUAUCUUUAUUUUACAAAUUAGGAAACUGAGGCCAGAGGCAUUAGCCCAAGGCUAUACAGCUGAUUUAUGGGAAGAACAGAAUGUGAACCCAGGCUGUCUUGCUCCUAAAUCAAAUAUCUUUCCUUGUCACUAUUCCUUCCAUGGAAAGAAUAUGCAUAUAUGUGUAUGUGUCCUAAAUCUCUUUAUUGGAAGAAGGUGAGAUCUAAAUACAUAGGCAAAUAGUAGUUAAAAAAUAUAUAUAUCCACAUAUAUAUUUUGAGUCAAGGUUUCACUGUCUUGCCCAGGCUGGAGUGCAGUGGCACAAUCGUGGCUCACUGCAGCCUCGACUUCCUGGGCCCAAGCAUCCACCCAUCUCAGCCUCCCAAGUAGCUGGGACCCCAGGCAUGUGCCACCAUGCCUGACUAAUGUUUUUUAUUUUUGUAGAGAUGGGGUCUCCCUUUGUUGCCCAGGCUGGUCUCAAACUCUUGGGCUCAAGCAGUCCUCCCACCUUGGCUUCCCAAACUGUUGGGAUUAUAGACAUGAGCCACUGCACCCAGCCAAAAAAUAUUAUUUCUUUUUUUUUGGGAUGAAGUUUUGCUCUUGUCACCCAAGCUGGAGUGCAGCGGCAUGAUCUCGGUUCACUGCAACCUCCACCUCCCGGGUUCAAGCAAUUCUCCUGCCUCAGCCUCCCAAGCAGCUUGGAUUACAGGCACCUGCCAUCACAUCUGGCUAAUCUUUUGUAUUUUUAGUAGAGACGGGGUUUCGCCAUGUUGGGAAGGCUUGUCUUGAACUCCUGACCUCAGGUGAUCCACCCACCUCGGCCUCCCAAAGUGCUGAGAUUACAGGUGUGAACCACCCAUGCCCGGCCAUUAUUUCUAAUAUUUGUAGUUUCUGAGUAGUUGGUUCCUGACCAUGCUUUGGAUUUACUCUUGCUUGACUCUUUUCUUCAUUCUGCCCACUUGAAACUUCUAAGGGAAUCUGCUUUGAAAUUAGACCAGUGCAUGAAGGCUUGGGAACUAUUUCACAGCAGUUAGAGGGAAGAAAGGCAUCCAUCAGUUACAUUCCAUGAAUGCUUUCUAGAUGUUGAACUCAUACCUGCAACAAGGCACCAGGCAUGAGUUCAGUGAGCUAACAGCUUGGCCACAUGCUUUGGCUUUUGUGAAAUACUUUUCUCCUAGACUUUUCCCUGUGGGGUUAAGUGGACAAUUGGAGGUCACAAGGCCUUUUGUCCAGAUUUCCAGCUUCUUCUCUGAGGACUGGGCCCAUGUUUCUUGUGCAGGUGCAGAAAUGGCUUCUUGGUUAGGGGAAAGCUGUGUUGUUGAAACUGGUGGUGUUGGUGCUUAACAAAGAGGCAUAGGUGUCAUCCUGGGCUGCUGCUGGCCACUCAGGUAAGCCUCCUCCCACUAAGGUGGGGUCAAGGUUUGUAAAUCUAGAAACUUCAAUCUCUGGACGCACUAAAAAAGAUUUGUGUACACAUGUUCUCGCUCAUAAGUGGGAGUUGAACAAUGAAGACACAUGGACACACAGAGGGGAACAUCACACACGAGGGCCUGUCAAGGGAUAGGGGGCAAGGGGAGGGGGAGAGCAUUAGGACAAAUACUAAUGCAUGCGGGGCUGAAAACCUAGAUGAUGGGUUGAUAGGUGCAGCAAACCACCAUGACACAUGUAUAACCAUGUAACAAACCUGCACGUUCUGCACAUAUAUUCCAGAACUUUAAGCGAAAAAGAAAAGUUUUGUCUAUUCAUAUACUUCAACAAAUAUUUACUGAGAGCCUACCACAUGCCAGGCAUAGCCCUAAGCACAGGGUAGAAACCGGCAAAGCAAAUUAAUAAUUUAGAGUGCAAAAUAUGAUCUCAACAGAUUAGAGUGUGUCAGUGCUGGACUCCUUUACAGCAGCAAGGACUCCUUACCCCUCCCUUUCCUCCUCCUCUUCUCCGUUGUCAUUCCUCUGUUUUCUCUCCAAAGGCAUCAAUGCAUAUGCAGUAUGGAUUUGGAAGGAGUACCCUACUCCAGAUAAUGUGGGUAUGGUGGGCAACCAGUGUCUACCAUGUGGUAAAUGCCCAAUGACAUAAAGAAGAUUCUAUUGUAAAGUCCUUAGAUUUUCAGUGCAUACCAAAAUAAGGAGUUGACUGCGUUUCAACUGCGUCCCCCUUCUCUGGUCAAAGUGACUAUUCUCUCUCUCUCUUUUUUUUUCUCUCUCUUUCUCAUUUUCAAUCUCUUUAACAAUGUUUAACACUUUCUUCAAGACCUUUUCAAAUCCACCUUUUCAUUUCAAGUCUAAACUGGACCCAGCACCUCUCACAUUGGGUCACAAGUCCUAGCAAGGAAAGGGGGUCAAGGAAAGGGACACAUGACCCUGAGCAAGAGAGACCCCCUGUCAUUCCCUGGGCUACAGGAGCAGAGACCAUUGAGCCUGUUGCUGUUGUCAAAGUGGCCUGGCUUCCUGCAGGGAGUGCCUGGUGAUCAUCAUGGCUGGGCCCUGGCUCAGAUGCACCACCUCUGGGAAUUGGCUGAUUUGCUCUGAUAUCGCUGUCUUCCACCUUUCAGCAGCAUCACAUGCUAGCCUGAAUCUAGCAAGUGAGGACAAAAUGAAAUCAAGGUAACCUAGGGACCUCUAUGCCAACUUCUAAAGGUAUUGCUCUGAAACAGUUAGGCUGUGUCCCCACCCAAAUCUCACCUUGAAUUGUAAUAAUCCCCAUGUGUCAAGGGCAGGGUCAGGUGGAGAUAGUUGAAUCAUAGGAGUGGUUUCCCCGUAGUGUUCUCGUGGUAGUUAAUAUGUCUCAAGAGAUCUGAUGGUUUUAUAAAUGGGAGCUCCCCUGCACAAGCUCUUUUGCCUGCUGCCAUGUAAGAUGUGACUUUCUCCUCGUUCACCUUCAGCCAUGAUUGUGAGGCCUCCCCAGCCACGUGGAACUGUGAGUCAAUUAAACCUCUUUCCUUUAUUCCUUUAUAAAUUGCCCAGUCUCGGGUAGGUCUUUAUUAGCAGCGUGAGAACAGACUAAUACAUGCUCAUUGUGAUUACAGGGUGAGAUGGCAAAGUCAACACCAUCGUUUUAUUGUCCAAAGGGGCUUCUUUUCUUUUCUUUUCUUUUCUUUUCUUUUGAGAUGGGGUCUCGCUCUGUUACCUAGGCUGGAGUGCAGUGGUGCGAUCUUGACUCACUGCAACAUCCACCUCCCUGGUUCAAGCAAUUCCCCUGCCUCAGCCUCCCAAGUAGCUGGGACUACAGGCACGUACCACCAUGCUAAUUCAAAGGGGCUACUUUUCUAAUCUGCAAGGAGAAAAAUAAUGAUAUUUUUGAACAGACAAAGAGAGAAAAUAAGAGGCACUGGCAUUCUACAGUCUGUCUGUUCUUUGGCCAUCCGGCAAAAAAGGGAUAUGUUAAAUUGAUCAGCAGAGCAGAGUGUCCUGGAAACAGCAUGGGAAUGGUAAACAGCCAGGCUGAGUCUGGACCCAGUUCUGUGGCUUGCCACCUGUGUGACUGUAGCAGGCCGCCCAGCCUCUCCAAGCUUCUCUUCCUCAUCUGCAAUAAAAUGACUGUGACAUCUUUCCUUCAGGGCUGCUGUGAGAAGGAAGGAGAGGAAUGUGAACAUGCCCAGCUUUGUGUCUGAUACACAGUUGGUGUUCAAGUGCCAGUUUCUGUUCCCUAAACCCCGUCGGAACCCAUAUUUCUUCUUUCCAGACACCAUGCCAGCAUAGAUUUAGAAAACAAAAUCACUGGCUUACUUUCUAAAAAUAUUUACUUUUUCCAGACUCAGCCAGGCUAACCAAGGGAGAAUGUUUAGCUAAGUGGGGAGAAUUCAACGCGACCCCCAUUCCUGCUCAGCUGGCUCUGGAACUGCUCUUCUCUGAUCACUUCUGGGGAAAAUCAAAACACAGCAGCCCACAGUGCUCCCCACAACCCGCGGAGGGCGCCUGGCUAUUUCUGGAAUGAAGGACAUGGAAAGCGGGACAAGUUCUGUUUUUGCAGACUCUGCCUUUCUCUCCAUCUCCCCUGGAAAGGAGGAAUGACGAUGUGAUCGGUGAGACACAGCCCAGCCGAGACCCCCUCUCCCCUUUCUCUGGUGAACAGGAAGGACAUAUUUCUUUCAAUUCUUCUAACUGGAAAGUGUUGCUUCUGCAGGGGAACCCCUGUCCAGGCCAGUCCUGCUCCUGAGUGCAUCUGUUUAAUUGCAAGACUCAGUAUUCAGAACCUACCUACCCAUGGGGGAGGCUGUGUCCUUCAGUAUCAGGGGUUUGUGUGUGUGUGUGUGUGUUGUGGUUGUUGUUGUUGUUGUUGUUUUGAGAUGGAGUCUCACUCUGUCUCCCAGGAUGGAGUGCAAUGGCGCAAUUUCAGUUCACUGCAACCUCCACCUCCGAGUUUCAACUGAUCCUCCUGCCUCAGCCUCCCAAGUAGCUGGGAUUAUGUAUGAGCAUGUGCCACCAUGCUCAGCUAAUUUUUGUAUUUUUAGUAGAGAUGGGAUUUCACCAAGUUGGCCAGGCUGGUCUCAAACUCCUGACCUUAAGUGAUCCACCCACCUCGGCCUCCUAAAGUGCUGGGAUUAUAGGCGUGAGCCACCUUGUCCAGCCUCCAGUAUCAGCUUUACCAGAAAUAAAGCAAUAUUGCACCCUUUAUAGGAAGUAAAUUCCUUCCUUCCUUCUCUUUCUUUCUUUCCUUCCUUCCUCUCUCUUUCUUUCUUUCUUUCUUUCUUUCUUUCUUUCUUUCUUUCUUUCUUUCUUUCUUUCUUUGUCUUUCUUGUCUUUCUGUCUUUCCUCUUUCUUUUUGAGACAGAGUCUCACUCUGUCACCCAGGCUGAAGUGUAACGGCACCAUCUCGGCUCACUACAAUCUCUGCCUCCUGGGUUCAAGCGAUUCUCCUGCCUCAGCCUCCCAAAUAGCUGGGACUACAGGUAUGCACCACCACACUUAGCUAAUUUUUGUAUUUUUAGUAGAGACGGGGUUUCACCGUGUUGGCCAGGAUGGUCUCAAUCUCUGGACCUCAUGAUCCGCCUGCCUUUUCCUCCCAAAGUGCUGGGAUUACAGGUGUGAGCCACUGUGCCCAGCCUGUAUGGUGUGUAAUAAAUACAUGGCAUAUGCACUAUUUUGCCUUUCUAGCAUCAGGGAAAAAAGCUGGUAAGCCAAAGAACAUCUGGCUUCAAAGAUUUCAAGCCCUGUGUAAGAAGAAAUUUUAAUAUUUUCUUUAUGUGCCUGAAUAAGUCUUCUUGCAUGCACUUAUUCUGGAGGCCAUUGCUCUGCAGAGGUAUGGCUCCAAGCAUGGCUUGCACAACAGCUGCAGGUCUGUGAUGGGGUGAGCAUGGGCUGAAAUGUAAAUCACUUCUGUUGCUAGGCCAGUUCGCUUGUUUCUUAGCCAGACUAUCCUAAGAAAAGGAUCAGCAGGUUGCUUUUCAUUUCGGUGUGUGCUCCUUAUCGUGGAUGGGCACAUUGAGAAGCACUGCUCUAAAGCUUGAGCCCCUCAAGGCCAGGAGCCUCGUCUUCAUCAUCUUUGCUUCCUCAUUGUAACCCAGGGCUUGGAAUAUUACAAAUGCUGGACACUCUCUUCUCCACGCUUGCUGUGUGGCUUCCUGCCUAGUGAUAGACUGUCCCUUGCUUUUCACUCUGCCUGCCUUUGGAACUCCACCCCUUAACCCCUGGUCACCAAGUCCUUUCUUUAUGUCAGGUUUAAAUGUCCCCUCCUCUGAGAGUCUUCCAGUGUCUCUUGUGCAGAAGAAAUUGCUCCAAACCUCUAAGGCAGCGUGUCCGUGGUUCAUUUCUUAUAGUGGCAUUGCUUACCUCUCAGUUAGUUUAUGACUCCUCUCCCCUGCCAGCUGUAAAUUUCUUGCAGACAGAGACUGUGCUCUGCUUGGUGUCUUUAGGACCCAGCCUACCCUCUUUCUCAUGAUAUGUGUUUAAUAAGUAUUUAUCCCAUGAUUAAUAUAAUGUAAUACAUUCAUUGCUAAGUUGUCAGUGAUCUCUAUUGCCAGGACAUACAUUUCAAUGUGAGAUUUACAGAAAUAACACUGCCUAUAAGGAACCUCCCUGUCUGUACAAACCAGCAUCCUUAAAAUGCUGCACUAAUUGGCUUAACUCUGAUGUACCCUAAGCUCUACAAGUUAUAUAACAUAUUAAACACUGAAUCCAAUGGGUGGCAUGGGAGAAGCACUCAAUAAAUAUUGCUGUUAUCAUUUUUGUUGUUGUUAAUGUUACCAGGCAUAUACUUUUGUGCAUGUUCUUUCAGACUGAGGAAUGUCAUUCUUUUUUUUUUUUGAGACAGAGUCUCGCUCUGUUGCCAGGCUGGAGUGCAGUGGCGCAAUCUCAGCUCACUGCAACCUCUGCCUCCCGGGUUCAAAUGAUUCUCCUGCCUCAGCCUCCUGAGUAGCUGGGACUACAGGUGUGUGCCACCACGACCAACUAAUUUUUGUAUUUUUAGUAGAGAUAGGGUCUCACCAUGUUGGCCAGGAUGGUCUCGAUUCUUGACUUCGUGAUCCACCCCCCUCGGCCUCCCAAAGUGUUGGGAUUACAGGCGUGAGCCACUGCACCUGGCCAAAUGUCAUUCUUUGUUGAGUGGAUCAGUAAUGAUCCUAAGCCCUAGAAUAGCAGGUUCAUUGGUAAGAAUUUGCUCAUUCUCCAGCCUGGCUGUUUUCUAAAGUAUUCUUAGGCUGAAUCAUGUGUGAUAUUCCUCUGUUCCAAGACUCAGCUGGUGGCUAGCUGGGGAUGGGCAGUCCUGGCACAGCUGGUGUGCCCACUGGCAUGCAUAGUGCAUGCUUGAACAUUGGCAUGAAGAAAAUUUUCUAAAACUCUGGGAGCAAGGGAAGAGAGGACAGACCUGAACUGUAAGCCUAAGUUCCAUGGUCACUAAGCUCUUUGGUCUUGGGCAAAUCAUUUCAAUUUCGCUGCAGCUACAAUCUUGUGGGAAAGCAGAAGUUGGUCUUUUACUCCCACUUUUCCUUUCCUCAGGACUUCCUCUAUUUCUUUACAGAGAACCUCCUACCAGGCAUUCAGUGAGCCUUUCAAAUGUGCUCUCAGGAAAGCAGACACCAUCAGGAAUUAAUACUUCAGUGUGACAUUGAUUCUGAGAGUCUGUUCCUAAGGUGCUACUGUUGAUUCUUAUUAUUUACAGUAGUUACAUCCUUCAAAGUUGCCACAAACACUGAAUUAGGGAAUACUUACUCCUGGGGAAAUACAGCGUGAGGGUCUCUUGAGUUUCUGGUCACAACAUUUUUACCAGCUGAUCAAUACGUAACCUUGUUGUAUGUUAUGUUUCUAUCUGAAGACACUUUUAAAAAUAUGUAUUUCUUGCCAACAGGUAAUUAAAUGCAGUGUUUUGAAUAAUAAAAUAAUAUUUUAAUUAUGAUAUGUGAUCAUAAAUUUCUUUGGCUUUCAGCCUCACAACACUGCUGUCUGUCCACUACGCUUUUUUGUGGUUGGUUGUCAUUUCGUGAAUCCACGGACGUUGUGCUUUUCCAUGUUUUCCGUAGAUUCAGCAUGCAAUGUAGAUGUUACUUUAGCACUUUCCAGAGAGGACUCAUACACAGUUUGGUGUGUUUCCUCUUCCUUUUCUGGAUGUACUGCAUUGUUGACUCAUUAAUAUUGAAUUCACGGCCAACAGUACUGUAACUCAUGCCCUAAUGAAUCUCAUCCAACACAAGUAUUUUCACCUUCCUGCAUUUAGGAACACUAGACAGCAGUUCAGCACCAUGCAGGAGGGCCAUCUCAAACAGCGAGGCCACCAACAGAAAGCACAAAAAUGUGAAAAAGUGGCACUAAACAGAUCAUGAAAAGGAUGCUCAUUUAUAGCAUAAGAGCUGAAACAGGAAAGCAGAGGGUUGCUUUGCUCCACCUUAGCCGGGAGCACGAGCGUCUGCAACUCAAAUUUUGUUGCCACUCUAUGCAUGUCUGUGAAUGGCUUCAAAAGUGCCCAAGUUUUAGGACUUACAAAUAAAUUUCAGUGAGUAGCCAAUUUCACAAUGAGGAUAUACAGUACUUGCAUUUUAAGCUCUCUCACUGUACAGGAAAAUGUGCGUUCCCUGUAGGGAGAAUUUCCAGUGAAUGGGUGGGAAAAGUUUUGGGGAUCAGGAGAUUUCUUUCUGGACCAGGAUGUUACUUCUAGGGAGGUUCACUCAAACCAUGACCUCUAGCACCUGUCCCGGGACUCAUGAGGGACACUUGCAGGGACUCUUGCAAACCACUCCACUGGACAUGAGAUCUCAACAUCUUAUGGGGCACUGUUCUAGCAGACUUCUCUGUUCAGGGCUUUGAAAUCUCCCCCCUCACCACUUUCUUCCUAGCCCUAUUCUGUAAUGAUUUUGAGAUGGAAAAACAUAUGUUGCCCUCAGAGGUAGCAUGAAUGCUUCCAAAUGAGACAAAAUAAUAUUCACGUCUUCUGGCCUCCCAGGAGACCAGCAGAAUGCUGAGACACAGUGCAUGAUGUGCUAGGCACUUUGCGUGCGCCUUCUCAUUCAGUCCUGAUGGCUCAGAGGAAGCCUUGGUGAUCUCAUUUACAGCUGAGAACUCUGUAACUCAGCAAGGUUAGGCAAAUCACCCAAGUUUGCAUGGUUUUUAAGAGGGAGGAUCAGGACUUGAAUUUGGGACUGCUACCUCCAGUAGCCCUUAAUCAAAGCAGACUAAAAGGCAGGCAGUCCCUAUUUCCUCUAAUCCCAAGCCGGAGUCUUGAUUUUACUGCUCUGAUCUAAGGAAAGUCCAUGGAUAUGAAGGUGCACAAAACACACAUGCAUAUGCACACACAUGCCAGCUUGCCGCAGAAAGAAGCACAGAGACAGGAGUGCUCCCAGUGCCAAAAGGAGAACUGGCUUCUGCUUCUGCUCCUGCCGCAGACCUUCUCAGGCCAGAGCAGUAGUCUGACUUCAACUUGCGAGAGAUGAGAAUAUCCAAAAGGGAAAAAAAGAUGGGCUGCUCGGGUAGCCCAGAAACAUUCAUAAUUCUGACUUCUAAUAAAAAGAGAGAAAAAAGGAAAGAGCAAGAGAAGGCUGAAGGUGCUCUGAGGAAGUAGGCCCCGGGCCACCUCACUUCUGCAGACAUGUGGCAGGAAGGGCCUCAAGAAGAGGAGAACUCAAAAGGGACAAAUCCACAUGUGCAGCGAUGUUGAACUUGGUGCAGUGACUUCACCUGCCUUCCCAAUUGCCAACGAUGCUUUCCUGACCCGAGCACCAAUUCUUUCCCUUGGAGAAGAAGAAGCUGGGAUAUAAUGGGCUGCAGGGGGUACAGUGGAGUAAGAAGGGAAAACAGGACAUAGAGUCUUUAGUUCAUUGGAGGCCCAGAUGCAUAAUACAGAAUCAGGAACUUAGAACUAGGCCGUAAAACUGAGUAAAAGCAGGGCUUGAUGGCAGAGCACUGGCCCUGGAGGUGGGGGUUGCUGUAGACAUUAGUUAUAUUUGUGGACACUAGUAUCUUUGGAACAUCUUUCCUGUGUUUGGAGAAUUUUCUACACUAUCCGUCUUGCCUCUUCAAGACAGAAGCUACAGCUCACUGAUCCGUCCUCUUGCAUCUGGGCCACAGACAUAUCACCCAGUCAUGUCUACCCAUCAGACCCAACUCUGUGAGACUCCAAUUCAGAAGCAGGCAAUGAGAGGAAUAGGGGCUGGGUGGACUUAAUUUUUUAGUAGUGGAGGUGGCAAGGGCACCAUUGGUGCCUACGUGGUGUCGGCUGGAUUGUGGUUUGGCUAUCGCUCCAGCUGCUUCACCUCAAUGUAAACUCUCUGCCUCCCUGGAAAUUCUAUGAGCUACUUGACAUCCUUCCAUGGAUUUAUUUUCUGUUUAAAUUAGGUGGAGUGAAUUCAGUGCUUUCCAACUAAGAACUGACAAGUGGAGAGUCAGGGAAGCUGCUGUCAUUUCAAAAUUGCUUGCUUGUUUUCACUGCUGGCAGAGCUGGAAGACAGAGAGAGACCAGACUGGUGAAAUGUGGAGCCAGAUGUUGAAGGAAAAAGGAUCAAUGUCACGAUGCUCAAUUUGGGCAGUACCGACAUUUUGGAUGGAAUAAUUCUUUGCUGGGGGGCUGCCCUGUGCAUUUUAGGGUGUUGAGUAGCAUCCCUGGUGUCUACCCACUAGAUGCCAGUAGCACCCCAUCUCCAAGUUGUGACAAUAAAAAAUGUCUCCAAACAUUGCCACAUGUCCCCCAUGGGGCACUGGUUGAUAACCUACUUGGUCUAAUCACACCAGGCAAAGUUCUCUAGUGAGAAGCUUCUAGAAGCACAAUGUUGUUGACUUGUAUUUGUAAUUUGUGAAUGUAUGUAUUUAUGCUUAAGUUAACCUUAAAUAUGUUAUAU